GGGGAGGCCUCCUUUACCCAAAAAUGAUACAGUUGAAAUGAAGAUAGUGCUGCAACCUGCAGGUCCUUAGUUCUGCAGUGAAAGAUGGUCGUUUUCUUCUGACAGAAAAUGCUGUGGCUAACCUACUGCUUGACAUUGGAUAUGAAAUCAACAAGAGGCCAAAACAUGACUUGUUAUAGCACUGGUUAACAUCACAAAAAUAAAGUAAAUGUUGUUGCAUAGAAGAACGCAUGAACCAUUACUGACAAGAACUAACCAAUACACAAUAGACCACAGAUGCCAAGCAUGGACUACCUCCCCAUCCAAGCUACCAACUGGUGAAUGACAAGACGAAAAGGGGAGGCGGGAAACACUCACCCCCGCGCCUCCUCUCCUCAGGAGGACGAGGCGGCGGCCAUGCCGUCGGAAGCCGCCACCGGCGCGCUUGGAGAAGGAUGCGGCGACGAGACAGAGAGAGAGGCCGCCCCCCACACCCACCAGCGCGGUGGACGCCAUGGACGCGAGCUCCGCUUGGGCAGGGUAAAAGCCUUCAGGUUCAGACUUCGCAGGCGAAGACGAGUUGAGGCGGAGGAGAUAAGCGGCCGCGCGGUGGACUGCCUUGUGGGCUUAAACUGACCACGGGCUUUCAGCCUCACCAUGGACGCUACUGGGCCUCACUUUAUUUACAGGCCCGUCUACUGAAUUCAUUUCGCUUGUGCAUUUACCACUUCCAUCCAUACAAGCUCACAGAUCUUCUUGGUCUGAUUUUUCUUUUAGUUUCUCCCGGCCCAGAGUGCACCGCUACGUGAAGGCGUAAUUUGAAAGUUACGCCUCGCCAACGCCAAAGCGUAAACUAAAAUUCUGAAGUCAAGAAGCACCUGCGCAUAUUGUAUUGUACUCUAGACCCAAUCACAAGCCGCUAUUUCCAAAUAUGAUAUCUUUGUGUUUGUCCGGCCCUGAAUUGAUCACCCUGAAUUGAUCUGAACCCGCUCCUCGCAUCGACACCUAGGACACUGUCAAAGCCCUGAGAUUAAACAAGCUUGCAGUUUGGCACUCCGGCGACAUCGGUAGGGGAUUUAAAGAAAUGCGAUCACUGAGGUCAGACGAUGGUUGCGGUCGCCGUCGGGGAUGCGCGUCGUGUGCCGGCGGCAGAAUCCGUCGUCGGGGCCUGUGCCGCCAGGUGCGGCUUGCAGCAAUGGACAACAGCUAUGGGGCUAUGAGCACAGCCUGCAAGAUUGCAAGGUACAGCUUCUGCUGAAUGCCUAGUUGUUUUUAGGUUCUUUGUGUAGAAUACUUGCUCUAUGAUCGUAGCUGAUGCUGACAGGCCACCUAAUCGGGAUGUACCUGGACGGUCAAGAGAGAUCUUGGUUGAUUGUCGUGGUCAGACCUCACGGAGUCUUUGUUUCUCUAAAUGGAAAAUUGGAAAUUGGUAGGGAAGAGUACAGUCACUGUCAGUGAAAAUCAUAUGCACAUUCAUGUGAAUUCACCUAUACUCCUGCAGUCAGUUCAAGGAACAUAGAAAGCGCAGCUUUCUUCUGUUACCUAAAAGCAGUAAAAUGGUGCUUUGACUCAAGCGUCUAAAUCAGCAUCUGAAUUUUUUAUGUUGUCUUUUUUUUCCCUCCAAAAUUUGCAGUUGAAGAUUUACAGCUCCGUGUUUGAGUUACAGUAGGAAAUUAAGUGGAGCCUUGUCAGCAUCAGCAGAUGCUUGCAAAGCAAAGCUUUUUUUGUGCCCUCAAAACAUCGACAAUUAAACGUGACGAGAGGAUCAGUUUACCUGACCAGUAAUAGAAGAAAGGAUCUUGUUACAAGUUCAUGUCAGGGAGGCUCCAAACCGGCGCUUUUGAGCCUUGCGUCAGUAUUAUCAUUCAAAUAUGUCGCUGUAAUGCUGUGUAGGCCUAUGAGCACUUAGACUGGCCAUCCACUUCCUCCAAUUGCUGCAUUAUAUUAUAUUAACAUGCAUAUCAUUGAUGCUGUCACCACCUUAGACCAAGCUGCCACGAAUUAGGGGGUGUUUGGAUACGAGGUGCUAAACUUUAGCAGGGUCACAGCAGAUGUUCGGAUGCUAAUUAGAAGGAUUAAACAUGAGCUAAUUACAAAACUAAUUGCAUAGAUGGAGUCUAAUUUGCGAGAUGAAUCUAUUAAGGCUAAUUAAUCCAUCAUUAGCAAUGGUUACUGUAGCACCACAUUGUCAAAUCAUGGAUUAAUUAGGCUUAAUAGAUUCGUCUCACGAAUUAGACUCCAUCUGUGCAAUUAGUUUUGUAAUUAGACUAUAUUUAAUACUCCUAAUUAGUAUCCAAACAUCCAAUAUGACAGGUGCUAAAGUUUAGCAUGGGUAUCCAAACACCCCCUUGAUCCCUGGAUUAGAACUCUCAAAGUGUAAAACAAAAAAGAUACAAAUAGUUCAAACCUUUCAUAUUUCAGACUAAGUAUAGAACAUCACAAGUGAAAUCCGGAGCAACUGCCAAAAGAUUUAUCUGAUAUUUAACUUGUGUUGCAUUUUUUCAGACCAAGUACAGAAGCUGUCAGCAUAUCAAGACGAUUUCAAGCAAUGCACAGCUCUUCUGUUCAUAUAUACAGACCUGGUAUAGACCGUAUUUACAGCUACAUCAUUGGUGCAAAAGCAGCCAAAUUCUUCAUAGGCCAAAUUUUCCACUGAUGAGACAAAAUUAGGAGAAUGGAAUCUUUGCCUCCACUGAAGAGGAAGAUACCUGCCACCAGCUUUGUUAACUUCCAGCUAGUGCAACACUCAACUAUUACAUGUCUUCUGUGAUUGAACUCUUCUGCCAAGCUCCAUUUUAUUAGUUUUAUGAGUGCUUUAGGUGGGAUUCUAUUUUAUAUUAUCUCAUUUGUUUCAUUACUUAUGUUGCUUGAAUUUCAAGUGAUCGCCCUUAGUGACCCUACUACUGUUGUACUACUAAAGACAGCUUUUCGGGAGUCCUAUUAUCAAUCUGGUCAAGUGAUUCAUCAGGAGAGGGGAGAUUGAACUGAGAGGGGGUUCAUGCAGAUGGAGGGCAGGGGCCUGUCUGACUUGUUCAGGAACACCAGCGAGGAGAUCUUCCUCAAGGCGAUGAUGGAGAACUCUAUGGGUGUGGCGGCAGCGCCAAGUAUGGAGAUGUUGGGGUUCAGGAACAUGUCACAAAGUUUCAGAGAAGACAGCGAGGAGUUGUUCAACAGCUGGCUUACCAAUGGAGAGGCAAGAAUUUUGAAACUUACCUGCCAUUCUUUUCUGUGCUUCAAAGGUGAAAUAGUUCGUGUUUCAGAAGAUAGGGUCCCUUUUGCUGGGGAUCACUCACUUCUUCCACCAUCUCAGAAAAUACAUAACAAGUAUAUUCGUAAGCUAUAUGAACAUGAAUAGUGAAGUACUACUUACUACACUGGCUGAUCUCUCUCAUUCAAAAUCUAUCACCUAAAAUUGCUGACUGCUUAUUUGCAGAUCCCAGGAUUUGGUUCAGUUAACAAUCGCCCUCGACAGCCCUCUAGGUAAUAUAUUGGUAAAUGAUGCAAAAUUAAUUAAAUUCAUUUGAUCUUGUAAAUACGACCUGAUCGAUGAAAUAGUGUACUUGGAUGGAGUCAACACCUUAAAAUAAUGAUCGGUGAUUGAAUUGAAACUAAUAACAGAAAAGGCUAUCUAAACUUCAUAUGCUUCAAGAUACCAAAUAGAUCAUAUUAUUACCCAUCUGAAGGUCGGAUAUCAUGAAGUAGCAACUCCUACUGUAAUCACACAUUUCCAGGAAAUUUCUUUCUGCACUGCAUCUAUAUUUUAUUGAGCAUGUAGAUGGUACUGAACAUUUUCUUUCGAGGAAAUGUACUGAAUUUUUACACAGCUAAAUGAAGUUAACACAGAAAUUUUCAUAAACUUGAGCUAUUACCAUGGAUGCUAGAUUUUUUAUGGUUAAUUGCAAUUACUAACUCACAAGGUGUUGUGUAAAACCAUGCAGGUUGUCAUCAGAAGCUGCAGGCCUUCCAAAUCAACAGCAUGACGUUACCCAACAAAAUUUUCUCACUGACAACUUUGUUCAACAGAGUUCAGCGAUUCCUUCUGUUGAAUAUCCAAAUAAUCACAACCAGCAAUCACUCAAGUACAUACUUUGCACACCAGCAUCAUCAUCUAGUAUAAGAUGUAUGUAGUUCAUGUAAUAUUAAUCUUGUCAUUUGCCCUACAACAGGAAUGCUGCCGAGAAAGGAAUGCAGGCUAGUGACCUACUUCUGGCAAAGGUUAGCCAAUAUCACUAUCCAUUUGUGUUCAAAUAAAAAAAAUCAAUUUCCAAUUACUUCUACCUUGACAAGAUUAUCAAGCAAGUAAAGGCGUUUUUUAUUUCUCAUUUUCCUAAUUUGUUCAUGUGUAGGCCUGGUUCCAUAGCACUCAACCAAUGACUAGAAGCCGUUCUUCAGAACUAAGGCAGGAGUUUCAGAUUUUAUAUGUGCUACUACCUUCCCAGAUGAAAUGUAUGGUGCUUGAUUUGGUUAUUUUUGCAGGAGGAGAUAUGCUGCAAUGCAAACUCAUGUGACACCAAUAACUGCAGGAUGUGUUGAACCAACUAUCCAAUUAAAACAAGAUUUUACAAACAUAACAAACAGUACUCCGGUGAGCAACACACCUGUUCAGACUCCAAAAUUUGUAUCUCCUUCAAGUUCAUCAACAUCCCCUCUGGAUCAUAUGGUGGCACAAGAUGCUGUUACCUCAGUGGUGAGUAUGCUCAAGGACACGCUGGAGCGCAAGAAGCUUGGUAGCCAUGCUAACAAAGAUGCCUCAGUAGGCAAUUCUUUUGGAUUCUAUGACCCUCAGCAGUUUCAACAAAACAUUCUUGGAGGAACAGAUAUAUUUUCCCUAGUGACAACUGCACAAGUUCAGGAUUCCCCAAUGCUUCCCAAAGCUGAGAGGCCCAUGGAACCAAAUAGUGGUAACUUCGUUGCUCCUGCAAACCAGGUUUGGUUCGGUGCAGCAUCUCGAGAGCCUUCGCACAGCGGCUCAUCUACUGCUAUGACUGCUCAUUCAGCUGGAUUUGAAGUGUGUGAUGAGCUACCUCCUAUGGGGCAAGCAAUGUCUGUUUGUGAGAGCACUAGAAAAAAUGCUGCAAAUGGAACAACUGACUGCAGAUCAAAAGGCAAAGGUAUACUUCUAUCGAUACAUUUAUCCCUGAGUUGUAGCAAAACAUUACUUGGCUUCAUGCCAACACCGAUUAGUUGAUACAGCAUGGAUGUGAGAAUGUUUGAUCUGUCCACUUAUACUGAUGUCAUUUUUAUCAUGCCAUGGGAGAGUAAUAUAGUUAUUUUUUCUGUUUAAAUGCACAGAAUACAGGGAGAGGGUACUAAAGGAUAAUGUGAAAGAUGACAAAAAGGUAGGCUCUGAUUAUUACUUCUGGAGCAUCCAAAGUUCCGUCUGGUAGAAUAUUUCAAUAUGAUCAUUUUAUACAUUGGCAGAAAGGGGCAUUAACUCGAAUGGGAUCCAUUUCAUCAGAAAAAGCAGGUAUAUCCAGAAGACAGCUUUUUAUAUAGGCACCAAAUAUGUGGCAUAUGGUUACCUCUCAAAAUAAUUACUCACCAGUAUAUAUAUACUGGGGAAACAUUAAAUAUAUCAAUUAUGAUAUGCUUGCGCCAAAUGAGAACACUCGACUAAAAAGACGUGGCAUAUGCUUUGGCUUGUAUACUGUUUUCUUAAUCACCAAACGACCUAAUUAAUGAGCUUGUGCAGCUGAUAAUGGAGAUCCUACGAAGAAGCGCAGGGUUGAGCGCUCACGCAAGUAUGUGAUGGUUCUCCCUCUUAGAAAAAUGGCCUUGCACAAUAAGUCCUAAUUAGCAUGCAGUAUAUGAUGUUGGAUUACAUUUUCUGGUUCAGAAUGGCAGAAGCAAAGGAAAGAAGUUCCACACCAGUAAUUCCAUCCGACAUGCAAGCCGUACUUAAGCGUUGCGAAACCCUAGAGAAGGAAGUCCGAUCACUGAAGCUUAACCUAUCCUUCAUGAACAGGUGAGUCCACUGCCUCAAGGACACAUGUUUCUAAGGAAAAUUCUUGUCCAGUAACCAUAAGCCUUUUUUCUAAAGAUAGUUACUCAAAUAUUUCAAUCAAUUACAGGAAAGAUUCAGAACAGACCAAACAGAUCGAGGAGCUUCAGAAGCAAAACGAGGAGUUGACCGAAGAGAAGGAGCGGCUACUAGAGGAGAUCGAAAGAAUCGUCUCUGACUCCAACACAUGAUCACCCAAUCCUUUUUGACCCGUUUCUUUGUACUAAUAGAAUUAGACUUGAAAAGGUCCUAGAUACAAAUACAUACAAAAUCCAGAAGGGCAACAAGAAUUACAGUACUGCCCUGAAUGUACCAUUCUUUCCAUAUUGUUACCUCAAGUUUACCAUAUACAAGUAGUCCAGUACCAACAACCAAACAGAUCAAGGAAUACAUUUUACUUCCUAUGGCAUGUUCAUGAAACUAAUUAUACUAUUAUAGCAUGAAACUGAAAAAAAAAAACAGCAUGCUCCGACACAUCAGAACAGGAACUGCAUUGUUUCAACUUUAUUUCAGAGACAAGCAUACCCAUAUGAUGCCUUUAACUAGCCAAAUGAUUGGAAUCCACAUUUUCCUUAGAUUUUAUAGAGUAUGUGAUAGUCAUUUGAUGAUACAGAAGACAGCACCACACAAAACCAUUAAAUGCAACAUGUUCAGACAUCAGCUAGCAGCAACGAGUCUUCCAACGCUACUUCAGAAACAAAAGCACUACAUUUCAUCGUAGUUUUAACAAAUCAAAAGAUGGUAAAUGAUUCCCAUUUUCUCAAGAUGUGAUAAUCAGCAUAGCUUAUGUUCAGAAAUCAAGACAGAAUAUGUUAUUACAGGGUUAAUCCAGAGAUAAUCAUCCACUCCAUUUCAUCAUCAUUCUAACAUCCAACAACCACACAAUCACACAUUACAUUUCCAAGACUACCAUCCCACACAAUCGGGAAAAAAAAAAGACCUAACAGAUCAGGAACUAGAUAGCAUUACUUCCUAUGGCAUGUACAUUAAACUAAUUACAGCAUUAAACUGAACAGCAAAAGAACUGAUGACAUUCUCUUGACAUUAGAACAGUGCAUUCUUUCAAAGUUAUUUCAGACAUAAGCAUACACAUAUGAUUUCUCCAAUUGGUCAAAUGAUUAGGAUCCGCAUUUGAUGAUACAGAAGAUAGCACCACACAAAACCAACAAAUGCAUCAUUGUUCAGACAUCAGAUAGCAGGAACGACUUGGCCAUUUCAGUAACAAAAGCACCAUAUUUCAUCUUAGCUUUUAAAAAUAAAAAAGACAACCAUUUCCAUUUUCUCAAGAUGUGAUAAGUUCAUAUCAUACUACAAAAAUAAGAACCAAGACACCACAUUAAGCAGAACCCAAGAACGCAACAUGUUGGGAAAUCAAGACAGCCACUAUGUAUUCCAGGGUUAAUCCAGAUAUAAUCAUCAUCCAUUCCAUUUCAUCAUUCCAACAUCCAACGCCAUUUAGAAUAAGGAAUAGCUUUCCAACAUCCAAAUUCCAACACUAGCCACACAAUCACACAUUGCAUUUCCAAGACUACCAACCUACAUGAUCGACAAGACGUAACAGAUCAGGAACCAGAGUAGCACAUACAGCGACCACCGCUCAGUGCUUGUUCCUCGGCGAGGUCCUCCUUGCCCCAGCCACCGGUGCGGACGCGGCAGCCUUCCUCCUUGGCGACGCCCUCGCCGGCGCCCCGGCAGCUGGAGCUGGUGCGGAAGCCUUCCUCUUCGGCGACGCCCUCGCCGGCGCCUUUGCCGCUGGCGCGGAAGCCUGCCUCCUCGGGGACGUCCUCACCGGCGCCGCGGCCACGGCCUUCUGCUUCUUCUCCAGCUGCUGCUGCGCGGCGAUGCGGUCGAACUCGUCGCUGAGCUUCCUGGCGCGCUUCUUCUUGGCAGCCGUAGCGAUGUUCGCGAGGGGCUCGUCGUCGCCCUCCUCCUCCUCCUCUUCCUCCGACUGGUCGGACCCGUCAGAGUCCUCGUCGUCGUCCACGACCUCCCGCUUCAGGAUCCGCUCCUGGACCGCCGCCUCCUCCUCGUCGGAGUCGCCGUCGCUGGCGUCGUCGUCGGAGCCGAGGGCCGCGAGCGACGCGGGCUUGUGGCCGGCGGCGCGGGCCUUGGCCCUGGCGUCCCGGCGCGCGCGGCGGCGGAGCUUGUCGAUGGACCCCUCGAUCCGGCCCUGGAGGUGGAGGCGCUUGACGCCGAGGCCGCCCAUGGACCAGUGCGCCUCCUGCGCCCAGGCGAGGAGCGGGUCGGUGACGGACACCGGCGGGUCGACGCGGUCGCCGGGGAAGAAGCGCGGUCGCGGGAGGCUGCUGCCGUAGAACCGGCCGGGUCCCAGCGCCACCACCAUGGUGAUUGAUGAUCUCCCUCUACCCCUCUCUCUCCCUCCCUCCCUGCAGAUCUGUCCCUCUCACUAGAUCUCUGCAAGCGUGUCGCGAUGUGGGAAAGGGAGAUGAAUUUGGGGGGGGAGUUUAUAGGAGGAGGGAGGGAGCGCGUGGCGGGAAAGGCUAGGGGAGUUUGGCGCCAAGAAAAUGGCGGUAAAACGAUGGGGUGGAAACGGGGUUCGUGCGCGGGAAGCCGCCGCCGCGUCCUGCGAAUGGGGAAAUGGUGGGAGCCCUCUCGGCUCUCGCAGCGCUGCAACUGGGCCCCACCGAACCGAGUUAGGCCCAUAUAACACGUGCCCGUUUAACUGCACCGGCCCAGUGGACAUCCUUGGAAAAUUCAAGAUUUGGGCCUCCACAGGCCGAAACAGAGCGCUAGCCAAGGCCUAGGCCCACCCCGAGUUUCUGAGAGGAGAGCGCGUGCCCUCGCCUCGCCUCGCCUCCCUCGCUCGAGAGCGCCGCCGGCUGCCUAGGGAGGAGAGACCGAGAGAACGUGAGCGCGAGCGGCGGCGGACGGAGAAGCGAGCAGAUCCACCGGCCGUGGACACGGGAUCGCGAUGGGGCGGCGGAUCCUGAACGACGCGCUGCGCACGAUGGUCAACGCGGACCGCCGGGGGAAGGCGACGGCGCUCCUCCAGCCCAUCUCCGGCGUCAUGGUCUCCUUCCUCAACAUCAUGAAGCACCGAGGUAUGGAGAGUGUUCCGCUCCUUAGUCCUUACUAGUAGUAGAGUAGAGUAGUAGUUACCUCUUUCCUUUCUAGGACUAGUAGUGAGUUGCAAUUUGCAACCUCGCCUCGUCCGUACCCCGCCUCAUCCCGUCGUGCGGUGGGUCUGCCCAAUUGGCACACUAGGGUUUCACCAUUGGUGUCAAAACUAGGGCUUCGAUGCUAAUUCAAGUCGUUACCCAAGUAAUGGAUCCCAUUUCUAGAACGAGUGUAUGUAUUGGGCGAUUCACGAGUGUAGUGCUGCUUGAGGGGUUGGGCUGACAAGACAUAUAGGCCAUGCCGACAUCCAAAUUGGCUUCUUCAGUACCAUAUGCUUGUUAUCGGCUCAUUGUACAUUGAUAAAAUGUGGUGACGCCGAUAUCUCGGCCCCAAUUUUAAUGCAUGUCCAGUGUCAGGGUUGGCAAAUGUCAUUACAGGGAUGAAGGCAAGAGGCCCACAUUCAAAUUCGUUAGAUUUUAACAAGUAUAUUACCGUUAUCUUCCACCAAGCUCUCUUUUGACUUUCGAGGAUCAUUUGUGAGAACUAGAAAAGAGUUGAGAUUUGAGAGCCAAGAAGUACUGUAGUGGCAUGCAUGCACCCACUCUCUUAUAUUACCGUCAUUUUGAGGACUUUCCACCAGUUAGAGUUUUCAACUCCAGGCACUCUUCAGCUUAUUUUUCAUGGAUAACAGAGCUCAAUUGAGCACAAAGUGACAUUGAAUAGCGGUGUGCUUUUACCGUGUUUUAGCCGCUUAAGUGUGCGGAUUGCAAACUGAUUUUCUGAGACUGCAUAUUUACAGGAUUCCUUCCUUUGUUGUUCUGAAGAUUUGUUCUCAUGAUUUGUUUGAUGCUUCACAGGGUAUAUCAAAAACUUCGAGGUCGUUGAUCCGCAUAGAGUUGGGAAAAUUAAUGUGGAGCUUCAUGGACGUAUCAAAGAUUGCAAAGCUCUUACUUACAGGCAAGACCUCAGAGCUAAGGAAAUAGAACAGUACAGAGUUCGGAUGCUCCCAACACGUCAGGUAUUUUAUCUACUCAUAUCUUUGGAUAUUUGCAUGUCAUUUUAGUUCCAUAGAUUUUGUUGUAUUAGCUUCCUCCAAAAACUACUGCGAUUAAAGUUUCAGUUUUGACAUGAAAAUUCAGCAAAAGCACAUACUCUGAUGACAACUAUAUCAGGUGGUGCAUGUGUGUGGUUUUGGGGUACUCCAUUCUGAUUGUACUGACCUGCACCAAUGGCAUCCCUUCUAUGGUUGGGAGUGGGUCCAAAAAAAAGUCAUUGAUGUUACCUCUAUAGAAUCAUGGUGUCAUCUCACAGAAUUUACACUAGCCAAUAUCAAUUUUCUAUAGAACUUAGCAAAUUCCAUUGCUGUCUAAGUACAACAUGGAAUGUCCCUGGAUCCGCCCCUGGUUGUCUUUUCAGUUUAGCUUCACAUGUGGAGUAUGCUUAUCAUUUGUAGCUUAGGAUGGUAUCAUUAACACCCUUUCCUCUUUAUUUGGUGUGGUUUGCUUCGCAGUGGGGCUAUGUUGUGAUUACUACUCCAAAUGGUGUUUUGGAUCACGAGGAAGCAAUCAGGCAGAACGUGGGUGGGCAGGUCCUUGGUUAUUUCCAUUGACAAGGAGCACCCUUCUCUAGCCGUGAAUGACAUUACUAGUGUUGUUAUUACUGAACCCAUUCUGUUUGGGUUUUGAGAGCAGUUUGCUUUCCUUCAUGUCCAACAAGAAAUGCAAUAACAUGUCCGGCUCACAUGUCCGGCUCACGGCACUAGGAAAUGCUAGCUGUUAAACAGGAAGACUGUAAUUUUCAUUUGAACUGAUAUAUCUUGUACAUCUGUUGUGCCUGCUUGAGAUUCUAUGAUCCUGCCAGGAAUGGUAGCUCGUUCCUGUGGAGUUGUCAUGUAUGCUUUUUGGAGAUCAUUCCUUCCUGUAGCCUGUAGGGAGGGUUGAACACGCAUUGGCAGUUGGGUCAGCGUCUGGGCUGUUAGUUCCUGAGCUUGUUUUGCUUCGCCGCACCACCGGCAUCUUUGUUAGAACUGCACUCUUGUGUUUUCAUGAGUGAAAUUGUAAGGACAGUCCCAUUGCCAUUCAACCAAGUCUUAAGUGUCUUCCUUACCUUUCAGCUGUUCCGAUAAAGUUACCGUACAGUCGUGUAAAAAAGUUUCACUGUUACCAUAGGUUUACUCAUUGCGAUGUAGUGGAACCAGAACAUGUACCCUUCAGAAAUAUUCGAAAUGCUUGUGUGCAGCGUGGGUAGAACGAAAAAUAUUAUGAGAAAAUGCAGGAAAGAUGACACAUUGCUGACUGUAAAGCAUAUCAAACUAAUCAUGCCACCUAAACUACAGAUCAGUCGUACCUGGACCGCCAUUGAUAAUGCUGCCAUCCGCAGCCCAUGGAUUACCUCGCGUUCAUCGACUGCAAUCCUGUAAGGCAAGUCCACGAAAGCAAAUAUAAGGAUAUGUUACUAGAGUUAUGAAGAAAGACAUGAUAUAUGUUUCAUCUAGAUAAAAACUAGGUGCACGUUCUUUUAUAUUUUAUUUUUUUGAAAAAAUAUAACUAUGAGAGAAAAAAAUCAGAGAGAGAUAUUGAGAGAGGAUCCCAAAUAAAACAAAAGAAAGAUUACGUACUAUGUUAAAAUAGUAUAUUCACAUUCAAAUACUCGGAAAAAGAGCGUUGAAUUUGGAGGUGGUCAUCUAGCCACCGUUGAAGAGACCCAAUUAGGUGAACUCUAGCGAAAGUGAAAAGUUACAACUAUUGGGUGAAAUUAGAGAGAUAAUAAAAGAAGAUGAAUAGAAAGAAAAAAAUAUGUACAGCAUUAGGAUCAAUAUAUUCGCGAGAGAUCGGCUGGUUGCCGUUAAAAGGCCAUGGUAUUGGUUGUAUGAUACGUGAAUCCUAGAGAUAUAGAAGGAUCGAAACGUAAAAACACGUGCCGCCUUAGACAGAUAAAUUCAGCUUUAGGUAAAAUCAGAGAUAACAAGAUAAGUCUGAAUGAAAAAAAUCUAUAUACAGCUCUAAUAUCACUAUAUUGACGUUCAAAACUUCAAAUAUCCGGAAAGCGUGUUGAACACUCACAUGGUCAGGAUGGAACUAGGAAGGAGCUGUAGGGGCCAUAUAGCUCAAAACUUUUCUACUAUAGUUCAUCAUAUGGUCUACAUUAAAAUUUGUUUAGAUUUAUUUCAUCUAAGCUCGAUUUAUAAGAAAGAUAUAAUUUGUCGUGGCCUCAUGGGCUCCGUCCUGCAUGUGGUCGGCUGGCCAGCGUGAAACCGCGGCGAGGCCAGUUUUGUGAUAUGCGAGUCGUAGAGGGGCUGAAACGCAAAAAAACGAUCCACGUUGGAACGGACGGGCAGAUAAAUUAAACGCGGGGGCGGCAGAAAAAUCCCCGAAGCAACCCGUCCCUCGCCCACCCGUCCGUCCACCCCCCACCUCCCCGGCUCCUCCUCCUCCACACCGCGCGCGGCGGUGUUGACCCACCCACCCGUCCCUCCCCCACCCCAUCAGCGCUGGAGGCGGCGGCGGGCAAGUCCCCUGGACCCUUCGGCGGCGGCGCGCGGUUAUGCCGAGAGGCUCCCAGGUGCGUCCAAUUCGAGCUCGGUUCCGUCGAAUUGGGGGGGGGGGGGGGCGGAGCGUCUAGGGGCGCCUCGAGGGUCUGGUGAGAUUGGUUGGGGCUCCAGCUGGGUGGGAAUUUGGCGAGGUCGAUCGAUCGGGGCGCGUGGGGAUCGUGGCGUGGUUGACCGAUCGGUGCGGUGCGUGUGAGAUCCGGGGAGGGGAUGUGGGGCGCGUUUCGUGUGGUCGGAUCCAUGCGAGAUUUGUGAGCUCGGGGGGGCUGUUUUGAUUCAAAUUUCGUGGGAGGUUAAUCAGGGGGUGGAGAAUUUUUGUGCCUGGGGAACAUGUGGGGUGUUUGAUUUGUGAAAUUGGGCUAUGUUUUCGGUGCUUUGAUUUGUUUAGGGUUUCGUCCCCAUUCUGGUAAUCAUGCUCAAUUACGAAACAGUGAAUGAUCAUACCGGUUUAUGCUCAAAUUGUGUAUUACUACUGGUGCGAUGCCUAAUUGGUGAUCGUGUUGUACGCUUGUACUCGUAGAUUCUGGUGUGCCUGUAAUUGCGCCCAGUUCCUCUGCUUUUGUUUAUCAGAAGUAUAUCUGCUAAUUCGGACUCUUAUGCGAAGACAUUCAACAUGAGAGAUAGGAAAACAUCAAUUAAAUCGAAUUGUUGAGGCCUUUGAGCAUAAUUCCAUUGAUACAUACAACUUUAUAAAUUGUAGAAGAAUCUCUUGGCACGAACUGUUGAUUGCAUCCAUGCAUGCUUGUGCUCUGUUUAUUCUAUCUUAUUGCUCCUUUCUGUUUUGCGUGGCCUACUUAGUUAGGUUCUGUUGUCCCGUGUUGCUUCUUUCUCACAUGUUCAUAGCGGGCCAAAUUGUUGCUUAAUUACCACUUUAUAUACUUCUAUGCAGGUUUCAUUACCGCGCUCUGCUGGAGUCAUAGCAUUUUCAGCAAGGAUAUGGAGUACACCCCUUACACAGCAAGUUCCUCUGUAUCCCACAUCUCGCUGCUCGAGGAAGUUCUUGGCUGGAGGUUUUGUCUUUACGGAGACUUCCUUGUCAUCUCUUUUGUCAACUGCACCUGAGGAUCACACUGCUUUUAGCGACUGCUUUGCCUGGUCCCAUGCUGUCAGACAUUAGGGUCGCCAAGUGAUUACAGUGCAGCUGUAGCACACUUAUUUGAGCAUGGUGGAUCUGUUUCUCAGGCAACAUUUCGGUAAUAUUUGUCUUGGCACUGAUCAGCCAGCAAAAGUUACCGUCAAGACAUCUUUGGACACUUGGAUCUAACACUUAGAGCUUUCUCGUCACAUAUAAGCUCUAGGUAUGCUUUCAUUGGAGAAGCUACUAGUAUUAUAUAUCCUGCCUUUUCCUAUUCUCAUGCAUCUUUUUUUUCCUUGACAGGUUCUGGUUUUCUUUGUUUCUGCUAGCUUUCUUCUACCCUAUCACCGUAAGUUUUCAGUUUGAUCAGUCCAAAGUUUGGUGUGUAUUGGUUACGUUUCAUCAGGCUUGCUUGGGAUGGCAUAACAUUAGGUAUGUGUGCGUCCUAGACAUGGUCUAUUCAUCAUUCUUCUAUUCUUUUUAUCAAACACAUCAUUCUUCUAUUCUGCAAAACUAAAAACAUAAUUGUUUUUCUUUUCCAAUACCCUGAUCCAUUAUGUGCUAAUUUCAGAGCAGAGUUGUUCAAGAUUUUGUUGUCGCAAAGCAUGGGUAUUGCCUACAGAGAUUUGAGAAGAGUCUCCAGUGACUUUGAUGUUCUAACAUCCAAAGACACUGCUGUCAUACAUAUAUGAGUCUUGUUUGUGACUAUACAACUGUUCUAAAAUAAGGGCAGUUUUGUGCACCACCAGCUAAAAAAAUGGAGAGGUAAAUAUCCUCCAUCAUCAGAGAUUACUUAUAAUCCUUGUCUAAGCUGUCUUGGAUGUCUGCUUACCUUAAUUUUUGUAUUGAGUUCCAGGUAUACGAUUAUCAAGGAAGUUGGUGAUGGAACAUUUGGGAGUGUUUGGCGCGCAAUCAAUAAAGAAAGUGGUGAAGUGGUAUGUCAUUCGGCUUGCCCUUUUUCCUUUUUCCUUUUGCUUUUGUACACCUUAACUUUUUUCAGUAGCUACACAGUUUGGCUCCCCAUUGCUCUGUUUUUUAAACCUCUUUAACGCACCUGCGUUGAUAGGUUGCGAUCAAGAAAAUGAAGAAAAAAUAUUAUUCUUGGGAAGAGUGCAUAAACCUCCGUGAAGUGAAGGUGAUUGUUGCUUAUAACCUGUUUAAUAUUUAUCAUGUGUUCUGUGGCAUUCUCUUGAGUUACUUAUUUUUUUAUCAGUCCCUGCGGAGGAUGAACCACCCAAACAUCGUGAAGCUCAAGGAAGUCAUACGAGAGAACGAUAUGCUGUUCUUUGUUUUUGAGUACAUGGUAUGAACAAUUUGCAACCCUUGUACGCAUUGUUUCUGUGCUUGUAGUCUGUAAAGUGACUGAACUUGUGCUUUUUGUUCUUUCUGGUGAUUUUAGGAAUGCAAUCUCUAUCAGCUGAUGAAGAACAGAGGGAAGGCCUUCUCGGAGACUGAAGUCCGAAAUUGGUGCUUUCAAAUAUUUCAAGCUCUGAGUCACAUGCACCAACGUGGAUAUUUUCACCGUGACCUUAAGCCUGGUAUAUUGUGAUUUUGCACUGGGCUUUUACAUUUAAUGUUACAAUGGUUGAGCUCUGUGUCCUUUUUGUUGCAAAACAGUCCUCAUGAGCUCAAGAACAGUUGUCUUAUAAAUUUUCUAUGUAAGCUGCAUCUUUUCAGCUUAAAAUUGCUGUAGUUAGAUAAGGAUGUUGUGGUUGCCAUUUGGUUAUUUUCAGAUUCUUUUAGUAGUUUGCCUAUCAUUUAUACACUGAUGAAACUUGCAACUGUGGUAAAUGUUCUGCUCAUGCCCUGUGUAUAGUUGCAUAGAGAUUCACAGAACCAGGAAAUGCAUCAUGGUAGUGGGCAAUGGAUUCUAGGACCUGUGUGUAUGUAAGAGCAAACAAAUUAAAAAAAGUAGAAAUAACGAAAUGCUGGGGUACUGAUCCUUAUUUAAUGUACAUGUGAUGUGUUCCCAUCUGGGAUGUGUUCAGUGGAAUCAAACACCUGUGUGUAUUAAGAUCAAAAAAAUAAAAAGUAGAAAUAAUUAAAUGCCGGGGUACUAGUCCUUAUUUAAUGUACAUGUAAUGUGUUCCCAUCUGGAAUGUAUUCAGUGUUGUUAUCAAACAUCAAUCUUCAUUAUUGAUCUUGUAAGUUAUGCAAUUUUCAGAAAAUUUGCUGGUUACAAAGGACCUCAUCAAGAUAGCAGAUUUUGGGCUUGCUCGUGAGAUUUCUUCUGAACCUCCGUAUACAGAAUACGUGUCGACUCGUUGGUAGGCUAUUUUUCAAGUCUUAUGUUGCUUAAAGUGCACCAAAUAAUAGGAUAAAUGUGCUAAUAUUUACUUUUAACUAGGUAUCGUGCCCCUGAGGUUCUUCUUCAAGCUACUGUUUAUAAUGCAGCAGUUGGUAAGUAGAGAAUAUUUAUGCCUUUACCAGACAAAUCAAGAAAGUAAAUCGAUACCAUUUUAUUAAUAUGUUUAUUCCUCAUUGCAUUUUCAGACAUGUGGGCAAUGGGUGCCAUAAUUGCGGAGCUUUUUUCGUUACGACCUCUUUUUCCUGGCUCAAGGUACACAUGUCUUGCCAAUCAAUUGAACAUAUACAUUCACUCCAUGUUGAACUGGGGCUGCUUACUAGGAAAAGUGCGCCACAUAGGUGAAGAGUAUUAGUUAGCUAUUUUAAUAAAAAGAUAACAGAAUAUAAGGCUGUCCUAUUUUGUAAUUAUUUACAAUCGAAAAUUGUAAAUACUUGCCAGCAUAGCUUUUGUCAGAAAUAGAUUAACAGUUGCCUUACAGAAACUAAUUAUAUUCGUCCAAAGUUAUUAUUCCGUACAGAAAGGUUAUUCAUAGCUCUAUGUUUUAUCUUCUUCAGUGAAGCAGAUGAACUUUACAAAAUCUGUGGCAUUCUUGGCACUCCAAAUCAGCGUACUUGGCCUGAAGGUCUGCAGCUUGCAGCAUCUAUCGGUUUUCAGUUUCCUCAGGUAUAGAGAUGAAUCUCCCUCCCUCCCUCCUUCACUCCAGGUUAAGACUUAAGAUAUUAGUGAUUGUUAGUGUUACUUAAAUGUGUUAUGCCAUAUUUGUACAGUGUGAAAGCGUUCAUCUUUCAGAAGUGAUUCCCUCAGCAAGUGAAGAUGCAAUCAACCUUAUCUCGGUAAAUGUCAACAUUCAAUACUCUCUACUUUCUCUGCUCUUUUUUUGUUGUUAAAGUGUCCAGUGUAAAUGAUGGGUAACAAAUUAUCUCCCACAGUGGCUUUGCUCAUGGGAUCCUCGUAGAAGGCCAACAGCAGUGGAGGUUUUGCAGCAUCCCUUCUUCCAGGUCAUAUAUCUGACAGAUUUCCAUACUAGAUGAUGAAUUAAUUUACUUCAUGACCUUACCAUCAUGUGUUUGCAGCCAUGCUUCUAUGUCCCUCCUUCACUUCGCUUCAAAUCAACUGGAUAUGCAUCAACACCACCAUCAGGUAUCUCAACAUCCUUUAGAUCUGCAUAUUCAUGUUCUUUUUCAUUACUGCAUUUUUUAACAAGUUAAAAUAAUGGAUCUGUACAGUUGGGGCUAAAGGAGCUGUGGAUCAGAAGAAUGGUAGGAGAUACUCCAUGGGUACUGUACCCAAUGGGAGGCCAACAGUUAAUUACUCAUACCUGAGCAAUAACGCUCCAGUAAGAGCAGGUAAUAAUACAUUCGGGCUGGCAUGGCAUACUCAGUUUUCCUUGUGAAGGAUUUCUGGCUUUGCUUCUGGAGUUCAUAACUUUUUCUGACUUGUGAAUGUUGCAGCUGGUGUGCAAAGGAAAUUGGAGUUGGAUCAUCAGGUGAAUAUAAACUAUUUCGCUGUUCAUAUAGUUGGUUCCUACAUUUUCAGCAACUCAAUAUUUAUCUAUUAUCUUCUGCAGCCGCAAGAGGCUAACCAUAAAGUGACAAAGGCGAACGCGAUGAAUCAGUCUUGGUCCAGAUCAGCAGCAGUAAGGAGCAACGGUGAGUACCGUUUCUGAACAUUCUCUUCUCUGUUUGCAUAGUCUAGUUACUCGGACUAACAUUGCAAACUCUGAUUUGUAGGCAAUUACCUUGCGAAGGACCAGAGCUCCCGUGCAUCUGACCUCGCUGAGAAGCUAUCUCAGCUGUCAAUGGGCCCCAACAGGGUGUCUGGUCUGGGUCCCGAGAGGUUCACAGACCUGAAGCCUAGAACCCACGGCAGCGCCAUCAAGCGCCCCUUGCCCGUGGGAUCCAGGGCGUGGCACGGCCCGGCAGACCCCUUCCGGCGCCCAUACGAGAUGCCAGGUGAUAGAACUCUCCUUCCGAGGAAGCUCGUGAGCUGAAGCUCGAAGAAGCAGAUCUUCGACGCCACCCAAGUGUCACAACUACACUUCACCACCAUUCCCCUGACAAUAAACCGCCAAGCUCCUUUGCAGCGACGGAUGUUGCCCAGUACUAGUGUCUAUUACCAUGCUUUUUCGCGAUUUGAAUAAGAGGCGUUCCGGCUCGUGCAUCAUCCCGUCAACCCUGGAGGCUCUCCGGGGCUGGGACAUGCGAGCACGGCAGGAAGCGUCUCCAUGGGACAUUGUGUUUAUGCUUUGUGUUCUUCGCUGUAACAUUGUGCCUGUGAGUGUGACGCUGGUUCAGUUAUUCUACAUUGUGACGUUGGUUUGCUUGUUCAGUGGGGUCUUGUAUGGAUUGUGACGGACAUGUGUUUGCUUUGUUCAGUUGUGGGCUGCAUGCAUUGCAUGGCCUGUUUCUUUUCUCCUGCUAUCAUAUACUAUGAUGCCAUGUUGAUUGCUGGCAGGGCAGAAGCAAUGCAUUGGUUUCUGAGCAACAAACAAUGCAAUGCAGGUGAGGAGAGGCAUGGCCGCCGCUGCGCUGUGGGCUUGCUUUGUUGCACGACGUGACGUCGUUGUGAGUACCGAUGCUGGUGGCUCUGGGCAUCGCGUUUGACUAUGCCUCCCUUUUAGACGGAGGCGACACCUGCCAAUUACUCGCCAACACCGGCAGCUGCAGCCGGCAGGCCGCGCAGGCGCAACAGCCUUUCCGGCCACCCAACCCAGCUGCCCCUGCGUGCAAUAUUUUGUGCUUGAGCACAAAAGCUGCUGCGAACUUCGGAGCCAUUCCGCCCUUUUCAGCUGCGCACGAGAGACCAGUCUCACGUGCAGCGCUGCAGGCUGCUUCUUUUCUUUCUUCUUCUCCGUCUUGCGUCCUUUUAAAAAAGGAGAAGAUAAUGAACGCAUCAGAACGUCACAUCCGUGUUGAAUGCGUACGAGGAGAUAAACAAGUAAUUAAAUAAAAGGUGUAUCUGCUAUCGCGAAUACGGAACCAGCAUCAGAUCUGCAUCCAUUUAUCGGAACAAAAUCAGCUAGCAUGACGACCAUUGGGCUACUGGAUUGGGGGCACCGGAUGCCGCAAUUCAGAUUUCGACAUCAGAUUCACAGAUUGCACAAGCUGCUGGAAAGCACACAAACACUUGCAUCAUCUACUGCAACGACAACCGAACGGUGUUCUGGGUUCUGGGGUACAGUACAAAGCGUGGUACAACCUUAGAAACAGGAUUGGGAGUUCUAUGCCUCCAAGUGAUCCAUAAGGGAUCCUGCUGCUCUUACGAAGAGUUCUUAGUGGGAUACAGUGAAGGAAAUAACUACGGCAAAGGAAGGACAUGCGGCACCAUGGCUGAUCAAUAUCUCCGUAGAAAAUCUCUCUAACGGCGAGUACAAUGCUGAUGCUCGUCAGACAACACCCCACACCUCACCUAGAGGCUGCCGAGCUUAUCAAUCGCCUGCAGAAAACAUGGUGAUCGCUAUGAUCAGUCGAUGUUCAAUGUGAUUCAGAGCAGCAAGCAAAAAAAAAGAGAGAGAGAGAUGGUAAAGGUAACACGAAACCGAUAGGAAACUCACAUCGAGGCAUCGGGAUGGAGAUUGAUAGCUGAGUUGUCGAGAAGGAGGUCCUAUUGGACCUCGCGUCAUCCAUCUCCGACCACGAAUCCCGCGUCCCAGGCCACUCGUCGAAGAAGGGCCUCAGCGGCUGGUUCUCCUGCUUCACAUUUCCGAGCAACCCACCAGCUCCACUGCUGAAAGAGUGGCGCUCCUGCUCUUGGGACAGGGAGGCGAUGGUGACCUGGCCAAGCUCCUGCGGUGUCUCAAGUUGGGAAUAGGAGUAGGUACCGGGCAGAAGACCAGAAUCUCUACUCUUCGACAGUGUAAAUGGUGGCACAUUGGACGGCAGCGAGUUCCAUGAGUUAUCUGUUGGAGAAUCAAUAGUGAAGCCCCUGGAGUUUCCUGAUGCUCCAGAGAAGAAGCUCAGUUCGCCAGCAUCAGCUUUAGCUCCAAGAGGGUACCUGCACAAUCAAUUAGUUAAGGAUACAUGACAAUUACAAGUUGCUACAAAUAUUUGUGAACUGACAGAAAAUUUGUCAGGCCAGUAGUAUUGCUACGACUAUAUGAUGAUAAUUCUACCUACAGCAACCAGCUAGAUAUGGAUUUGCUUCGAAUGAAAUGAAAUGGGUCUAGGGGUGAUAAGUUGGACAUCAAGCUCACAAAGCAACUCAAAUCGGACAUCACUACUGUCUAGUUUCGGAAAAAGGAAAAAGGUCAACAGCAGCACGAUAAGUUGCUAAUCUCAAGUUACUGCAAUUGCAGAUCCCCACAUCCUCACAAACUUAAAACUAUAGCAUCUUCAGGACACAUGAAAAAACAAUGUGUGAAAGAGAGAGAGAGAGAAAAUGGGGGGCCCAAAAAGGUAUUUUGUCUCAAAGACAGGCCUAUGUUGUAGACUGUAGAGGGCAUGGACAUGGCAGCUGCCAGCCAUAGUUCUUCAGAACAUAUAAAUUUAUAGACAUCUAUAAGGUGGCAGAACCAGCCAGGGGCAGGGCAUAGCAGGUAAGGCAGUUGACCUUACAAUAAAACUACAAAAAGAUUAAUAUAUUAAUAAUAUAAGGGCUAAAACUGCAAGAAGCGAGCGGGCAGACUUGCUUUUGUCCUCGAGUUAAUACGCUCAGUUUAGUUGGUGUAAUUUGCAAUAAGUGUAAAGAGAGCCAAAGGAAAGCAUGGCAUCAUCAAUAAUGGGCCUAGCUCAAAAGAUAUGGUAGUAACUAAGCCCCCAACCAAUCAUGCAAGGAAACCUAGUGUAGCAACUGUAUAAUUUGCAACCAAACCAGGCAAUGCUGCCAAACCUUAUCCAAUGAGCAGUUUGAUAGCGGCAAUGAGAGUCGAAAGGGGAUGUCGAGUGUAACCAUACUUGCUGCCAUAGCGAUAGUGAGCAUUCGAAGCAUCGACGUGCAGCUGCGAUGAGCCAGCCCCGCCGAGAGACAGGCCAUGAGUUUUACCCCCCGCCGUGAGGGAGUCAAGGGGCGCGGUCUCACGGGUCGUCGUUGUCACGGUGGACAACUGGGGCUGCGACGGAUGCGCAGGCGAGGCGGUCUUGGAUUCCACAGGCUUUCUUGAACGGUUGCGGCCACGGUGCAUGUGGCGCUCGCAGUACUUGGAGUCGGGGUGCGCCUCCUUGGAGCACCGCCACUUCUUGCCGUCGGUGCGGCGGCACCGCCACGGCUCCGGGUCCAGCUUCUUCCCGUAGUAGGCAUAGUAACUCACUGCAGGAACCACAGAUGGGGGCACAUUAAAUCAAUCCACGCAACCAUCGCCAUCCAUUCAAUAAUAUUGAAAAGAAGGUGUACUGAAGCUAGAUCAAAAACAAAUAAACAUUUGACCAACCCGAUGCAAAGAUGCUUUGCUUUGUUUAAAAGUUUGAAUAAAGAAUCCCACCGCUUGUGCAAACGGAAAAGAAAACACCAAAGAUCCAUAUAAACAGACAAAUGCUAGUAUAUGCUUAAGCACCCAUAAAUCGGCACACUAUAUGAUACCAGACCAAUCCCAAUAAGCCGGCAAAAGAUCUAUGUAUUCUCUCCCGAAUGAAAAGGGUGAAAAGAAAAUCCAAAAGACACCAUUUGUUUUUGCCCCUAUCCCAGCAAGCACGCAUCCAUUUCAGCGAGAUUCCUGAUAUGAUAGAAGGAGACGAGCAUAAUAUGCUAGUAAGAGCAGAGCAGAAGAAGCGAGGGUGAGCUCACGGGACGGGUGGUGGUGGUGGUAGAAGGGCGACGUGGCGGCGGGGCCGGCGAAGGAGAAGGCGGCGGCGGCGGAGUGGGGGCUAGGGCGGACGGGGAGGAGGAGAUCGGGCGGGACGGGGACGCCGGCCAUGAGGUACUUGUAUAUGAGCGCCUGCUGCUCCAGCUCCGCCCACUGCGCGGCGGUGAAGACCGCCGCCCCACGCUGCGGCGGCGGGUACCCUCCACCACCCACUCCCAUCCCCAUCCCCGCCGCCGCCCCCGCCGAGGACGCCGAGCUCAGCAUCGAUGGCCUGGCCCCCACCGCUUCGCUCCACCCCCAGUCCCCCACCUCACCCUUUCCUUCCUCCUUUAGGCCGACCAGCACCAAGAACGAACGUACAGACAAGAGGCGUGGGAAACGGACGGCGGAGGAGGAGGCGGGAGGGGAGGUCAGGUGGGGGUUGGAGGGUUCUUGGUGGCGGCCAUUAAUGGAGGAGGGGGAAGAUGGGAGGAGUCGGUGGAGGUGGUGGGGGAUCUGCAGAUAGGAGGGAGUCGCCGCUUUGGUCUCGCUUGGAUUUGCUUUGCUUGCGAUUGCGAUGCGAUGGUGUUCACCCGCUCCGCUGUCUGCUGCUCUGUCUUGUACUGCCCUGGGGGCUGCCCUGCCCCCCUCCUGCCCUUCCAGGGGCACACUCGGGUUUUCACCUCUCCGUUUUUUUUUACUUCCUCCCUCGUUUUCACUGUAUGCAUACAAAGCUGCUCGCUUUUCUGCAAUUGUCACAUGUUGGGGUUUGAUGGUUGCUUGAUUGCCCUUUUGCAAGGAGGUACGAGUAUUUGUAGAGGUCGGGAUGGUUAACCGCGAAAUUCUUGUAUAAUUUGUACGAGUAGUGUGUGAUUGUUAUGGUGAUGGCGAGCGUGACGUCGGUUGGAAGGUGAGAAGAAAAGAAGAAGGAUAAGAAGGAUUAAGAUUUAGAUCGCAGAAGAAAUGGGAUCCAAUAAGAAGUUGUUGUUGAGCUUAAAGAAUGGCUUGAAGGCAGGCCAAACCAAUAGGGUGCUGAGGCACCACCGGUCGUAGUCCCAGUAGGCUGGUGGUGGGAAGGGAUUGGGCAAAGACGGAGGAUACCGAAAAGGUUAGGAACGACGGAGUGGAGGAGGGGAUAACAGGAGGUGGUUUGAGCUGUGUGUCUAGGCUUGAAUUGUUGGACGUUGGUUGCCAACGUGACGUCUUGUCACUAGAAGGAUUGAAUGGUAAGGACUAAGGAAGAAGAAAUGAAACAAAAGGAAGAAUGAAAUGGAAAAGAGGAGGUGAAGUAUCCGCGUCCUUCGCUAGAAGUAGGUCACGGCGCAAACCACGAGUGGCACUCAAUCAACCUAUUCAUUAUUAAUAUGCUACCAUGUAUAUGUAUAACUUAUUUUAAUUGGGUUGGUUUCUGGUGAGCAUAGUAUAAAAGUUGUAGGUGUAUGGAAAAAAAAAGAGAAAAAGAUCUUAUGUCUCUCGAGAGUAUGCUUAACAUUUUUUUUAGGUUUUGCGAGUCGUCAAUUCCUAAUGCGUGGAAACUAACAGUUCGCUUAGUUGUGUUAUUAUAUCGCUUCACGUUCUUGUCUAGUUGCUUAGAGCAACCCUAGUGUAUCUAUUUUCGCCACCUUCCAAAGUACUUACGAACUCAUCAAGUCAUGGUUAGGGGGAAAAAAGUGCCAUAGCUUUUUCAAGCACUGAAGUCAGCACGUCUAGAACGUGCACGGGCACAGAGCGUGUGCGCACCAGAAACGUCUGGUGUGCUUCCCAAACCGUCAGCAGGAGAUAUCACCAACACCAACCGGCGGCACCACCAAACCUCCAUCACCCAUGGCAACCAAGAGCCAUCACAACCACAGAGUCACGAGGCACAGCCGCACAGGCAAAGCCAAGCCAGGCGAGAGGCCCCAACAAAAGUUUGUACACUAGAGAGCAAGAGCCCCAGUGACCAGUGUACGUCCGUGCACAGUAUGCGUAGCGCAGGAAAAAGCAUACCCCGUACACACAACAACUGUUAUAGUGUCGUGUACAGACGUAGAAUAAAGGCCAAAUGUACUGCCGCGUCAACAACAAAAACCUCAGAGCCAUGCCCCUAAAUCCCACGCUUUUACUUGUCGCCCGUACACGGUUGAGUGGGCGCUGCGCUACAGCGGCCCAAGAUUUCACUGACCCCAGUAAAUCUUUGUACUGCCGCGUGAACAAAGGAGGAUAGAAUUAUGGAAUGGAUGAAGGUGAGGGCUGGAGAAAGGAGACGCAGAGCAUUCAAGAUCCUGAAUCCGGUACGCCCGCUAUUACCAGCACAGCACUGCCUUUCUCACAAUUUUAAUAUCUGACUGACUGAUCCUAGCUAAAAAAGAUGACUGAAUACCUGUGGUUUGGAUGAACCUACCAGAUCCUAGAAAGAAAUUGCUCUCCCUCUCUCUCUAGAGUCUAUUCUGGUUUCUCUCUCCUCUCACUAUGUUAGAAAGAUUGAUAUGGCAGUCUGCAGGCAGGGUUGCCCCUCCCUUCCCUCUCUCUACUAGAAAACCUAGAUAGGGCAGGGGGUGGUGUGCCUAGGAUGAUGAGGAGGAGAUAAAGAAAAAAACUGAAAGCAUGCAGCAUAGUUGCUGCCCCAAGUUGCAGCAACAGCUGAGGCAGGCAGAGGCACUAUAAAUGGGGGGCAAAAGGACAAGCCGAGGCUGGAGUGAAUUUACCUCUUACAAAAUGUGGGCGUGGGGGGGCACACUGAGAUCUUACAUCACCAGCUGCACGUACAUCAUCCCUUUCCUCGCCGCAUGCAUACCAGCAGCAUAUGCAUCCAUGGCUUGGCUUGGCUUGCUUUGGGACCAUCUGGUCAAAGCCAGGCAAUGCCAUGGGAGAGAGAGACCAAGAGCCCAGCACCACCAGCAACUGAUUGACCUUCUUCAGCUCCAAACAAACCCUUGUGGCCAGCAACAAUCAUCAGAUAAACUUGCAGGUUGAUUCCAGCAAUAAUCAGCAGAUGAACUUGUGUCAUGGAUUGACUGACAGCAUCAGGACUCUGGCUGCCUCACACCUGUGAAAAGAAAAUCCCAAUGCAAUUUCCAGCUGCAUGCUGUAGACACCAUUGUUGCAUUUUUUAACAAGGAAACAGGGUUUGUCAGGUGCAUGUUAGCGGGUCAAGGAACACGAAGACAAUGCAGUAUGAAAACAAAAGGACGGAAAAACUGUCGUGAAAAUGUUAGUACAAUGGCAUGCCACUUCAAAGCUAAAGCUCAGAAUGGAGGGCAAAAAAAGAAAUGAAGAACAUCAAUCAUGCAGGAAAUUGAACAACAUUGAACAGGAACUGAAGCUACUUUUCGAUUUAAGAGAACCGGAUGAUACAACUCACUCUAUACAGAGGCGUACACAAACCUAACCUGGUUGCUCCUAGACAAUCAGGAAGGCCAAAAUGUGUCAACACAACUCUUCACUUUUUUUCUCCCAAAAAAAUGAGGCAUGUAUGAAUAUGACAUCUCUACAUCUGCAGCGCUGCAAAAAAAUUUGUAGCAAAGACCGAAGACAGUUGCUGGCCCAGCCAUUAUGAAUAUGGGCAGAAGAACCAUCUUCAGAUCAGUAAGUCGUAUCGCACUAUUCAAACGAACUGCGGCGUUCCCGAUAUGCAGGCACUGUGUAAUCCUCACUCACAUAAUAAGAGUAGAUGAGCGUGGCGUUGGCUUGGUUGCCGUCCGUCAACCAUUAAAAAAGAGAUAGCUAUGCAUGUCAGAAAAUGAUCUUCUUCAAAAUCAGAAGGACGAUCAUGAUGAAGAUCAGAAUGACAAGGACAGUGGCACACAUCACCAUGCCCCCUUUCUUCUGCGUCCUCUCAGCCUGCAGAACAGACGGACCAAGAUAUUAGACUGCAAGCUUCAGAUACUGAUGCUGCCAACUAUUUUUCUUUAUUUCAAGAAAUACUAUGAUCAUAAGGUUCUGCAAGUGAAGCACAGAUGACCACCAUGGAACCUCUAAAAUAAUGCAUAUAACUAUUAUGAAUGCAGAGAGAGAAAGAGAGAUCAUAAAGGCACGGGACAGUGCCUGCGAUGAGCAGUAAACUGAAGGGCUGGUUACAAAUUUACUGCCCCUGUUCACAGUAAACGUGUCCUCUUUUACAGUGAGAGAAAUAAAGCACAAGGUGCUGUUUUUUAAUCAAAAUUCAUAAGUUUCAGUUAUGUUAACACUGCAAAAAUAUUUGUUAUGAUGAAUCUAGAAAAACAAUCAGGGUAUUUAUAGAUAAUAUUGGCCAAAAAAAUAAGUUGAAUAUUUGAAUACAAGCUUCCCAUGACGACCAAUUUUUACGGCUACCCAAAGACGUAUAACAAAAAAAAGUAAAUUUCCAAACACCUAUCAUGCUACUCCAUAAGCAUCAUAUGUUAAUACAAUCAUUGUGCAGCUUGAAGUCCUGGAAUAUGUGAUGUAGCAUUAGGUAGUUCAUCUUUACAAAGGGUCAAUUAUACAGAUCUUUUUUUCGAAAACAUAAUUCUACAGAAAUCUACAGAGGGAAAAUAACACUUCUACUAGUGAGAGUAAAGGUGGUUUGAGGAUGAGACCUUUUGCAAUUGUUUGUAGCCCUCCUCAACAGAAGCUGCAACAUUCUGUAUGUUGUAGUCUAUCCGGUCAAUGAUAGUUCCCUGUUCAAGGAAGAAAUCAAGAGUCUGGCCCCAGCUAGUAAUCAACACCAAUCAUUGACAAUGAAUCAGGAUUUCAUAUACCUGAUCAAUCACAAGAACUGAAAGAUCCUUCAUGAUCUGUGCAAGCUCGUUGACUGAUUCGACAACCUUCAGACAACAAGCAGACAAUAGCAAACAGACUUCAGGAACAUGUGCUGUCAAAAGGAGAAUAUAUAUAGUAUAUAAUUGAUUAGUGGAACAAUAGAAGAAAUAGAAAACUCACCUGUUCGAUUUCUCUUUCCCUUUCUCUGGUGAAUGCUUCGCUUUUCUUAAGUUUUGACAUCUGAACCUCAGUGAAACCCUGGUAAUAAAACCCUAGUAUGAAUUACAUCAACAACUAAUGUAAAGAACUGCUUGACUUCUCAUCAUCUAUUAGUCUGAAUCCCAACAAGUAUUUUUAGCAUAUCAAACUCCAAUCCAGCCCAAUCUACUAUGCAUGAAUAAUAAAACAUCCCAAAAAAGAAAGAAAAAAUAACUGAUAAAAAUAAAAGGAUAGAUUAUGCCAAGAAAUUUCCUAAAGUGUCUUUCUUUCAAGUGAUCCGAAAGCAGAGUUUUAGUUAUACGAAGCAACCAUCUUGCUGGACUACAUUCUGGAAGAAUUAAUGCAGGGGCAUGGUGUUAUGUUUCAUUGGACUAGUGCAGUUUGCCAGAAGCAACUGAGAUACAUAUAUCAUAUGCUACAUAUAUAUUAUUAGUCAAGCCCAUCUCUUGCAGUAGACCUCAAAUAUGAUACCACAACUUCUAAACUUUAAAUGCAAAAGUAACAUGUUUUUCCUUGUAUACACAUCUAGUUGGAGAGUCAAAUGAGUUGAAGUGGAGUUAAAACAUGAAGAAACGAAUUCAGUUGAAAUUUCUUAUUUCUGAACAGGGAAAGCAGCUGCACCUACUACAGUUGAAAUGAAACCUAAUCAACCAUACCCCUCUUAAUCAGUCCAGAAGUUCUGAAGUAAAUGGAUAGUGGAUAUUCUAGGACAUGCAUGUCAAACAUGGUCCUAGCUCGGUGCUUACCUAUUUACUAGGAUAUUCAGCCAUUGCAAUUCUCUUUUAUGUUAUCCAAAGCAUAUAGGUUUGCAGCACAAAAAUAAGUUCUCCAGACACAUAUCCAGAUACACUCAGUGCCAAAAAAAAGGCUUCAGGAAAGCAGCAUAGAGAGCUAUCAAUUUGGCCAUUUGUAGCUCCAAUAAAUUGAUAUCAGCAACUCAGCAUCCAGAGACAGCCUUAAAAGCAAGCUCCAAUGCGAUAGAAUAUGCCAACUACGCAACCCUCUAAUUGAGUUCUCUCCAUAAGAAAGAAUCCUAACGCAUACCCUCACCCAGUUUAAACAGAGAUUCUUGACUAGAUCUGAUCUAUGAACCUGUAUGACUAACCCAAAUAAACAAAUCACCAUUGCACAUUAGGCAUAACUAUGUCAUUGUUCUUUUCUCCUUUUAUCACCACCUUCAGUUUAUUUAUGGAUAUAAAAUGAAGCAUAUCAAUUAUCGGAAAAUCUUUAUUUCACUAUUACAGAAGUCACAAGAAGUCGCAGAGAGUGAGCAAUGAUAAAUAAAGAAUGAAAGAAUUACUCCGAAUGUAUUAGAUUCUACUUAAGUUGCUAUAGGUAUUCCUCAUGUUAAUAUUUAAUAUGCAGUUAUGAACAGAAUUACCAAAAUCAAGCGUGUAGCAUGUAAAAAUAAAACAUACCACAUCCUCAAACUCAUCAUCUUCAAAUGUAGACUUCGUACCAUUUAUACUCAUUUCCAAGUCAACACCAUCCUGACCCUGUACCAUUCAUCAACGAAGCAUUUUAAUCAGGAUUCCCUAAGCAGCAUAUUAGCUCAUAAUGAAUCUGACCACAACAGGAGGGAACCUCUUUUUGUUGGCGAAGCUGCUUUAGAUAAGAUGACUGCUUUUUACGGAACUCCAUUGAGAGGUUUUGCAGGUCUGUAGCAAGAGAGCGCUGCACAUGACAGUCAAAAGGUAUUUUGUCCAUCAAACAAAAUAACAACAGAUUUUCACACUUUAACUUGCAAUAACUGCCAACGAUAAAUAAGGUUCUGUCAUCACCUGGACAUUCUUUCGGACGUUUGAAUCCUCCGAUGAAUCUUUCAUGGACAGCUUCUGCAGCCUCUUCUCUGACCUCUUCAGCAAGUCAGUUAUCUCAUGUGUGAGAACCUCGAUUGCUCGCUGGUCGUCUCUGCCAUCGCCAAAUGAUGGCAUCAAGGCUUUAGCGUGUGCCUUAGCCAACUCUCCCAUUUUCAUCUUUGCCCGCUGCAUGUUUGCAGAUAUCUCUUCGGAAACAUCCACCCAGGCUGGGGGCAACCCGACCGUCACAGCACCUCUACUGCAACACAGACACCAAAUGUCAGUGCCACAUAAUUCAUCCCAUCACCAGUGAUGCAUCAACCCCAAGUAGCUAAGCUUUGCAACCCAACAUUCCAGCUAACUUCCUAAGCCACUGAUCAACAUGCUAUAAGUCUUCCAUUCGCUCGAUCUAGUGAUGCAAAUCCCCAUUUCCCAGUAAAGCAAAUCGCCCCUAUGCUACACAGGUCGUUUGCCUCGUAAUUAGCUAAUAUGGAAAAGCUUGACUAGAUCAGAGAAGCUAAUGGGCGAGUCUAGUGAUCUGCAGUCCAACCAAUUCCCUUGAAUCACCGGCCAAUUAGCCUACUCCAGUUGUUGGCAAGGUCACCUGGCACUCGAUCUAGCUGAGCAAUCAGAGACCAGACGAGAUGCGAGAGGGUGUUGGGGGGUUGUGGCACCUGGAACCGGAGGGGUCGUCGGUGCUGAGGGGCGCGUAGGGGCGGUCGGAGCGCAGCAGCGAGGCCAUCUCGAUCACCGGCCCGCCGCCGCCUCCUCCCCCGCCCCCGCCGGACGACGACGGCGCCCCGACCGGCGAGCGGACGUGGCGCAGCGCGUCGCGGUACUUGCGGUAGAGCGGCGUCCGGUUCCGCGUCGCCAUGGCGGCGGGCGCGAGGCCGAGGCCGAGGCCGAGCUGGAGCUCGGGCGCGUGAGAUCUCGACGGCGAAGGCGGAGGUGGGAGGAGGAAUUGGAGUUGGUGCGGGACGCGAGAGACGAGACGCCGUUGGGGGGAGUUGGGACUUCACCACCAAGGAAGGAGAGGACGCGAGUCGGGCCGGGCCUUUGGGCCCUAUUGACUGGGCCAAGAUGGGCUAUCAUGGAAUGUUCCUUGUGAUCUCAUCAAAGAAAAGCUUAUUCCACUGUGUGUGUGACAGAGAGAAGGGUUCUGAUUUCAUAAAUGUUGGUACAUCUCAAAAAAAAUAUUCCAAACUGUUUGAUUUUAGUGUUGAGCUUCUUUCUGUCCAAAUUGGCAACAUUUUCAGUUUGCCGUGUCUCUUGGCUCUUCAAUUGCUCUACCUUUGCAUGGUAAGUGCAUCUGUAUACACUGAUGCCUUGGUACUUACAACGCAAAGUUUGGGCAGCACAAAGUGUCAAUAUAUCACAACAGUAAAGAAGAUCAAACUGAAUUUCUUUCAAGUUUUCACCGAUCCCUGAAGUACAACCAAUACACACAAUUCUCUUCUAUAUUAAUAGAAAAUGGCGCAGUCUGUGACCGUUCGUUAAAAAAAAAUACACACAAUAACUUAUAUCACUGAUAUUAUAUAUGAUCAUCUUUAUUACUCGUACGAUGAUCACCUAAUAUAUGCAAUUCACUCAUCUGAAGAUCACCUUAUGCAACUCAUUCAUCUGAUGAUCAAUCCUAAAGCAGUGCCUCUCGCUCGAGAGGAAGGUGCGCAGAAUUCUCGCACAUGACAGGAAAAUUCGAUCUCAUACCAGGUUCCUACUCAAUAGCAGCUCCAGAAAUGAAAGCACCAGGGACAGGGAGGCAGAACUAGAACGGGAAGGGAGCAAGAAGAAGACACCGUUGCGAUUGAAUCAUGUCAGUACAAGGUGAUGCCGAAGGACUGGCUGACGAGGAUGGCGAGCCCCAUGGAAAUCGCCAAGAGCGACGCCGCCCACGUGAGCUUCUCCGUGAUCCGAGGGAUCCUGUCCUUGAGCGCCUCCGUGCAGGAGCCGAUGAAGACGGUGUAGCUCCCCAUGGAGACCACAGUCCCGACGAGGAACAUGCCGAGGAAUGCGGCGCCGGCGACGCGCGAGGGGAGGGCCAGCGCCGGCAGCACCAUCAUGAGCGCGUCCGGCUGCAGGCCGUGGACGAUCCCGGUGGCGAACGUCGCGAAGUUGAUCUUCUUCUUCCCGCCCGGCAGGGUCUCGCCCACGGGGUGGUGGUGGUGGUGGCGGUGGUCCACCACGCCGCCGACGUCGCUCUCGCCGCCGUCCAGCGCGACGCACGGUGUGGGCACCUCGCUGGCCUCCCGGAUCCCGAGCGCGCCGAUGACGAGCAGCGUGAGCGCGACGACGCGGGUGCUCCAGGUGCGGAUGAUCUCGAUGUGGAGGCGGUCCUUGAGGCCGAGGAAGAGCAGGCCGAAGAUCACCUGGCCGGCGUCGUGGCCGCAGCCCCAGAGCGCGCCCACUACGGCGCUCUCCACCCUGGAACGGCCGAUGGAGAGCGGCGCCAGCGCGGCGAGGUGGUCCGGGCCGGAGAGCGUGUGCAGGCACCCGGCGAGGAACCCCGUCCACGCGCUGCCGAGGAGCUCGGACUUGAAGAGGGUGGUGCCGGCUUUGGCGGUGGGGUGGUAGUGCGCCAACGCCGGAGGCGCCCAGGAUGGCUGGACCAGCGUCAGGAUGAUCGCCGAGAGCAGAGUGACAGCUGCAGCAGAAGUCACCUGUUAGAAUGCAGAAAGGAAAACUGUGAGCAAACAUAGCACAUACCACAGGGAACUCUGCACGCGAAUGCGCUGCGACACAACAUUUUCGGCAUUUCAGCAGGCAAGGAAGGCUGUCAGAGGAUCUGCUACUCCUUUCGUUGACAUUUGAGAUGCUCAACGGUACACAUUACCAAUUCAACAAUGUUGCCACACAUUUUUCAUUGUUCGAAAAAUCAACUUCUAAGAGUGUUCUUCUUUUGAUAAAUAUAAUAAUUCUAUAAAAAAAUAUUGCUGCGCUGUUUGCUCCUUGACCCUGUAAGUUCUUCGUGUUCAACUCCUUGGACCUUGGAUUGUGGUGACUGGCGAUACAAACGCAUACGGAAUCCUAGAACAUUACAGAACUGCUGUGGUACUCACUGUUCGUACUCGAGUGGCACGAAGAAAAUAAACACAACGGGUUCUGUUUCUACCAUUCCUACGGCGCGAGAUGGAUUACUAAGCAUGAUGCAUGGUGAUGGAGGAAUCAACACGUGCGCCGGUCGCGCGUGCUUGCGCAGAGCCGACCAGACAAGCGCUCACCUUCUGGAAGAAGCGGCGGCGCGUGUUGGACGCGGCAUCACCCUCACCAUCCGCCGCAGUUGUGGGAGCAGUGCCGGCGCCGCCGGAGGCGGCGGGGGCCGGAGGAGGCGUCGGGCGGUGCCGGGAGAGGAGCGACGCGAGGGGCGGCCUGAUGAGCGAGGGCCCGAGCCCUCCUCCGUUGCAUGGAGGGAACGCGACGAAGGGUGUCCUGUGUGUCCGGGGCUUGGUGACGCCGUCGGCGGCCGCGACGGGCGCGCGGCGGAGGAGCGGCGAGGAAGAGAUAAGCCUCUCCAUGGCGCUCCGCUGCGGCUUGGCUCGACGAGGAUUUGAUUUGUUUGGGGGUCGGGCCGGGGAGAGAGGCCCGUGCUAAGGCCGCGCGGAGGCGAUCGCGCCCGUCCAUCUUUUGCUUUCGGAUUCGUGCACUCUGGGCCUGUACAUUCCAACAUGGGCUGUGCUUGGUUUACAGACCAAAAUGGACCCAUGAAGCCCACAAUGGCAGCGCUGAGUUGGGUUGGGCUGUUGAUGGGUUGCCACUGAGACGGGUGGGUGAUGAAGCCCAUUAUCGGUCUGUUCCUGUUUUUUGCUGCGAUGGCGGGAGGCAGGCGCACUGUCCCUUUCCUCUUCAGAAAACUCGCCGUUGGAAAUGGAAAAGGAAAACAAAAUGCUAUGCUUGCUGGGAACGGAAAAUGGAAGAAAAAAAACGUUGCACAAUAGAAUUAUUGCGUAAAUUUGUAAUGUCACUGACAACAAGCACGCGCGGGCUCUCCCGUUAGACGAAUUCUUUGUCGCGCACAAACUCUACGUGGAUGGAGUCUUACGGCUCCGGAAUCACGUCGUUUUCAGCUCAACGUAGUCGCAUGGCAUCGGCGAUUUGGGAACCUGGAGGUGGAAGACAAGACAAGAGAAUAUGCCUCCACCUGGUCAGUGGCUCUUUUGAAUCCAACCAUGAUGCUCGUCGCCGCGUCAUUGACUGUCAGCGUACAGUGACAGAGGUAGGAUAAAAUUACAGGUGGGGCGAGUUCUAGCGUGAAAGGAGAACAAAAUACAGAUUUGUACCGUUGCACCAAUUCAACUGUGUAAAAAAAAACUGCAAUCAUUCGAUCAAGAUCAAUUUUGUAGACAAAAGAUAAGCACUAACAAGAUCAAUCAUGUGUAGAUUAUGCUAGUAAUUUGCAUGUGGGAAAAGAGCUGCUGAUUCUAAUGAAUCGUUGGAACACAUAGGACACCACACCGCUGCUCGCCUGGGCAGAACGGACCGAUCCUGCUCCGUGCGCCCAUCCGCCGCUACUGCUCGCGAGCCGCACUCCCGGAUGCCAUGCCGCGCCGCCGCCGCCGGCCCGCCGCUAAGAUCGAAUCGGCGAGAAUAGCGCUGGGCGGCGUACACAAGCAAUUGGCCACUGGACCGGGCAUCUGGCCACAUUACGCCCGGCCACGCAUCCUCCGUGUCUCACUCUCCUCUUCAUCUCGGUCUCAUCUGCAGCCAUGGCUUGAUGCAGAGGAACAGAGGGGGCGAGGGGCGAGGGUCGACGAGGAAGAUGGAGGUGGGGGUGUGAGGCAAGAUGCUGGUAGCUGGGGCAGCUGCCCCACCCCGCCUCAACGUGGCUCCACCUCUGUUAGUGUACAUGAUGCUCUCUAAAUCUGAAAAAACCCAGAGGUUAUUUGGAUUCCUCGGAAACCCCCACAUGAGGCUUCUUAUUCACUCCUCCAUGUGCAUCAUGGAAUUAUUUUUUUUGACUCACUGACCAAGUCCAAAAAGUCCAAAAUUAUAAGGUAAUAUAUAGGUGGCCAACCAACGUUAUUUAUUUACGAGGCAAGCAGAAUAUAAAAUAAUUCUGACCGGUUCCUUUUGAAGGAAAAAAAAGGCAGCAAAUGAGAAAAAUGUGCUAAGAUUAAAAGCCACACAACAACUUUGUUUUCAUCCUUUUCCCCCCGCACAAAUGGAGCUAUCCUUUCACCAUUAUUAAAGAAAAGGAAGUCCAACUAGAACCAUUGAUCGUGCUUGUGAAAGACGGCCAGUUAGUGCUCAUCGACGAGGAAAUGUUUGCAUCGACUUUGUUGAUCCAUCUAACGAGCCACAGUCCUUUAAAUGCGCUCAAAGUGUGGCAAAAUGCAAGACAUGUGCUUUUAUAUAAAUCUCCAUUUCGUACCGUGUUUUAAAAAAGGAACAGGAGAGAGAGAGAGAGAGAGAGAGAGAGGCCACGUACGUGCGUCCAUGCAGGGCUCUGCAGCCGCGACAUGGAAUUAUGGAUCCAUCAUUCCAUCACUCGCUGCCUCACGGCGCGCGAGACGUGCAAGCGUCUCUGCGGGUCUGCUGGGAAAUGGGAGCUGGAGCUUUGAAUCGAUCGGAAUCCGCACCACCAGCUUGCCACCCAUGCGAUCUUGUGACACUCAGUGCAAAAAUAUUGCUAAAUCCCAAUGUUGUACUCUCCCUCCGGUCUCAAACAUAUGACGUGCAGAAGAACGAGCAAAAAAUAAACUGACUAGCUUGUCCUAAACAGAAGUAUCUUUAAAAACAGAUGGAAUAUAAAAAAGAUAGCAUUGUUCGUGAUCAGAUAAUUCAAGGGGUGUAGCUAGACCAAACCCACACCUAGGACCACUUAAUGGAGAGGUAAUUUGCUAGUUGGAUUGGACCUCUAAUAACUACAGGAUCGAGCAUCGCAAAAAGAAUUCAGCAUGGGCAUACUGGCACUAGGCGUUCCUUCGCCACUGGAUGGUUCUAUGCGUGGCUAAUACAUCAUGUGCCUCAUGCGCCACCAACAGUUGCAGAUGCAGCGAAUCACAAAACUAUCACUUAACCUGAAGAUUAGAGCUUGAUUCCCACGUGUAGGUGAUUUACUUGAGACCAUUUCCACGAGCACGCCGGAUUGGCAGUGCACGCAGCGCGCUGCACGCCCCGAGAGAUCGUCCUGCCUACCGACACCAACCAACAACACUCUCACGUCGACACGAAUCCAAACCAUCCAUGCAUUAAUUAAUCAAUUAGCAGCGAAGGAGACGGUCGACCGGUCCAGCUCGUUCGGCUGGCUGCUGCUGCUGCUCAGCAGCUGGCUGCAGCGAGCUCUCUGCCGCAGCUGGCAGCCACUUGGCUUUGGCUUGGCCCCGUAGCUUUCAAACGGCUCCCACCCCCCGUCCGGAGAGGGCCGGGGCGCCUGCAUCUCUUCCCGCCACUCCGUCGCGAAUUUUUUCGUGACGUGCCCCUGUGGAACACGCUAAUUAACCACGUGGCCCUUUAACUCGCUGCUUUUUUUUUAACACGAUGCUUUGCCUAUUUUCUUUUUGCUGAUUUGACUAAUCAAGCCACCCCGGAUGGCACGUUGUUUACUUGUUUUAGUUGGGACAAGGUUGAUGUUGGACCAUCUUUGUCUCUUGCUAAAAUUUCAUUCUUAAUAGAACGAAUAAUAGCACUGGAUCAUAGUCUUUUCUCCUUAGUAACAGUAAGUCUCAAGAUUUUACCCUAUAAUAAGUCUCAUGCCAUCUUUUUUUCCACUUGUUUCAACAUCUACAUCCGAGUUUGAUUUUUGUAUCAAGUUGAAUUGCUCGACGAAGCCAAAGAGAUACUCCCUAUAUCCAUAAAUUUUAAGCAUUUUUUGCCUAUGCACCUAGAUAGUUACUUACCCAGUAUCCUUACAUUUAUAUUAUAAAAAAGGUAAACAACGGAUAAUUAGAUUCCGACACGUAUGGAGCAACUGUUGGAACCGAUACAAGUAGAAUUUGCCAUGUUUGACGAAGUGCAAAUACACCCCUGGAACUUUGUGAAUACUUCAAUCCUGCUGAGUUCAGCACAGUAGUCGAUUGGAGUCAAACGCAAGGUCCAAACAAGAAAACGGAGAAAAGAGAUAAAAGAUACGAAAACAAAAGGAUUAAUUAAUGAUGCGGUAGCAACUUUCACCUCAAACUCUCUGGCCUCCCCCCCCCCCCCCCCCCCCCCCCCCCCCCCCCCCCCCGCCUCGGGAGGACCCUUCCCUCCUCCGCCUCUCGCCGGACUCCGGCCGCCGCGCGGCGCGGCCGCAAUUCCCGGGCCUCGCCUCCCGGGGUAUGGCUGCUUGACGAGUCCAGGGGCGCUACCACGACUUGAGUUGGGGGAGUGGCGCGGAAGAUGCUGAGCUCGUCGGUGUCGAGGCGGGACGCGGCGAGGAGCGGCGAGCUCCCGCGGCCUCCUGCGGCGGGUAUGGCGCGGAGCGGGGAGCUGCCGAAGGGCGCGUCCGCGGGGCCGGCGCCGGCCGCGGCCGCGGUGAGGCACGAGGGGUGGCUGGUGCGGCACGGGCGGAGGAAGAUCGGGAGGUCCUUCUUCCACAUGCGCUACUUCGUCCUCGACAACAAGCUGCUCGCCUACUACAAGAAGAAGCCCAGGGACAGCAUGGUAUGUAUGUCUUGCGUCGUAUGUACGCUCUGAAUUCUGCUGUUGGGGGUCGUUAGAACCGCUCUGAAUUCUGCUGUUGUGGAAAUCUGCUCUGAGCUCCUCCUCUGUUGCAAAAUUUGCCUGCGGUUCUAGUCACUAGAGUUACCUGCUGAAGGUCUGAUUGCUGUCGGAGUUCCUUUGCUUGUGAUUCAUAGGCUUUGGGAUUUUCCCUCUCGCUGUUUUUGAAUUUUGAGGAGGGGUUGACCAGAUUGAGAUGCAUGGAACUGGGUCUGGAGUCUGGAGCAGUGGGCAUAAUUGUUUUCUAGUGUAGGAAUCAUUCCAGCUGAUGCCAAUUGCGAACCGUGGAGUUGAGGGGCCAACCAAUGUUGGAAUUGUUGACCAUUUUGGAUAAUUAGAUGCUUUAAUGAUCAUUAGACUCCGGGAGGUGCUGAAUAAUGGCACACUUGUUAAAUAGUAGAGUUUUGGUCCUCAGCUAAUCAUGCAUCAUGCAAGCAACUUGUUUGGCCUGCCUAGACUUCUUUAGUGUUCCAAUCAUUCAAUAUAAUGAUUAGCUGUAAAGCUAUUCCUUCCACAAAUGCAACGCAUAUUCUGUGAUUAAGAAUAUAACCGCUAAUUGAAUAAAAGUUUCCUUUCUAACAAGUUUGUUUCCGUAUUCAUGCUGAUUCUUUGCCUUAAUGAAUCAAUCCAUUCCAGUUUCAUAGUAGAGCAUGGUUUGAUGGUUAAACUAGGUAUACUCACUGACAGCAUGAUGUAAUUGUUUUCGACUUUCUACUGAAUUUGUGAGUUUUGCAGGUUCCGCUCAAGUCAAUUCUUAUUGAUGGAAAUUGCAGAGUGGAGGAUAGAGGGCUUAAAACACAUCAUGGUCAAGUAAGAUUUCUCUCCCCCUUGCAAAAUAUCUUUCGAAAAGCUAAAGUUUAUAUGUUUAGGAGGGCAGUUUUCUGAUUUAGACAAAUAAGCUGCAAUGGCUGUAGCCUGUAUUGCUAGGAUUCGUUCUGUAGCUUAUUCAUAAAUGUGAUCCACACCCUCUAAACUUUUUCUGUCAUUUACUCACUUGAAAUUUUGAGGUAGUUUUCUUAAUCGUCUUCUCAUUAUUACUCCUGUUUAACUUUUGCAGAUGAUUUAUUUCCUAUGCAUUUACAACAAGAAACAAAAGGAGAAUCAAAUCACGGUUUGUUAUAAUGCUGAACUCUGCAGCACUUUCAGAACUAUCUGACUAUAUUUAAUAUGAGUAAUUUUAAAAAUUGGAUUUGUUGAUGUCCUUUUAUGAGCACUCGUUCUUUCCUAUGCCAAGCUUCUUGCGGUGGACUGAUUAGAGCGUUGAACUCCAGGAGUUAUUGAAACUCCCAUUCCGACCCCGGUUCGAAGCAUGCCACCUUCCUAGUACCAAGCCGGGGGGGGGGGGAUUUUUGCCUAUGGUCGAGUUUUUUCUAAUUAUUUUUGUACUAUUAGCUGUAAGAAUUUAUCCCUUAACUACGAAACCGACUAAUGUCCACAUCUGCUUCAUUUUUUGAAAGUUGAGGGUACUAGGUAUAAAGUUUUUGAAAGACUUGUGCAGCUUGCACUUUUUCAUCCUUUUGCAGACUGCCGGAUUCUCUUGUUUGAACCUCUUUUUCUUUGUGGCAAUGUAUAUUUAUAUCACUGAUAUGAAUACUAUGCCAAUGCUGCACUUUUCUUCAACCAGAUGGGUGCAUAUGAUAUUGAAGAUGCCCUAACCUGGAAGAGGAAGCUGGAGUUUCUGAUUGAUCAGGUACAUUAAGUCUGACUUGCUUUAUCUAAAGUUCUUAAAAAUAAUUAUGUAUGUGUGUAUGGCAUUUCUUAACACGAACAAGGAUUAUAUAUUAUGAUUGUCUUAUUCAGCAUUUUCCUGUUUAGUGGUCAUGGUGUGCAAGUGAAUAUGGCUUGUAGUAUUCAAAAACAGAAUCUAGACAGUUCUGCUAUUUGCCUGUUAUGUUCGAAAAAAAAGUCUUCAACAGCCAAUUUUCAGGAAUUUCCAAUGCCCUAAGUAUAUAAAUCAGGAAUCUGGUUGGUCACUUACCAUAACUUCAGAUGAACUAGAUGUCAAAUUGUGUCAAACAGCAAAAUAUUCUGCACAUGCCACAUGCCAUUAUGAUAAAUAUCGGUGAUCUUUAUUGUGCAGCAACAGGAUAGUAUGACAGCUAAAAACCGUAAAGCUUUUGCUUCAUUGGACUUCGACAUAGAUCUUGGAGGACCAUUUUCGUUCUCUGAUCAUGACAGUGGGCAAGUAUUUUUUUUCUUCCCCCCGCACCCCCCCCCCCCCCCCGCCCCCCCCAAUAGUUGCAUAUAAGUCCUUUCUUUUUGUUAAUUGGAGAUUCAUUCUACUGCAGUCCUGAAGAUGAAGAAGAGCCCCGGCCCACCUUGCUUCGCAGGACAACUAUAGGGAAUGGUAUGGAGUUCUAUAACAUUGUUAUUCUAUUAAUCUAGACUUUAUUUAAUACUUUAUAUUAAUCUAUGGCUAUGCUGCAGCUGCAGAACCUAAUUUGUCGUUUCUUUUGCUAGGCCCUCCUGAUUCUGUACUUGACUGGACCAAAGAGCCUGAUAUUGGGCUGUCAAAUCAGAGUGACACCAAUCAGGCUUACUCCAGGAAGAACUGGAGGCUUCUUAGAUGCCAGAAUGGCAAGUUUCCUUUACAUAAAUUAUUGACCCUUCCUUAAGAGGAUACUUUGAGUUCAAGUCAAAUGGUGUUACACUGGGACUAAGUAUCCUGUUUUUUUUCAUUGAUAGGAUUGCGCAUCUUUGAAGAACUUGUGGAGGUUGAAUACCUUGUAUGUACCUCCUCUUACCUCUAGACUGCUGGACAGUGAACGAAACUCCUGCUAUUUCUGACAGACUGACAAUACUUGUCUCUUCUUAUUCAUUUUCAGGCAAGAAGCUGUAGUCGAGCAAUGAGGGCUGUCGGCGUGGUGGAAGCCUCAUGCGAGGCCAUUUUUGGGCUUGUAAUGGGUAUGGAUGUAACACGAUAUGAGUAAGUGUUUCUUGCUUUAUUUCCUUGUCAUUCAUAGAUGGAUGUUGACCCAUAUCCUGUAUUCUCCUAUGCAGAUGGGAUUGUAGUUUCCAAUAUGGGAGUUUAGUUGAAGAGGUCGAUGGCCAUACUGCAAUAUUGUACCAUCGUUUACAACUUAACUGGUGUUCAAUGUAAGUACAUUUUCCUCGUGUUGCUUGUCAGUUAUCAAUUGUUGCUUCUUUCUAACAACUCGCACGAUUAUUACAUUCCCCAUCCUCUUGAAAUAACAAUGAAUGAACGAUACUGUCCUCUCGAUAACUAUCUGAGCACAUACUUUCGUAUAUUUAAAUUUGAGUUCAGAAUUAUGGGAACCAGAUAUAUAUUGUAGUAUCAUUUAGAUUAGCAUUGCCUGCACCCAAUAGCAACUCCAACAUUGUUUGAUUUGCCUGGAUGGCUGAAUGUGCCUGUACAAUUCACAGUUCAGUAUAUUUUGCAGUAUCUGGUAUAUCUCGCAAAAUCGUACAAUGGCAGUGUAUAUCCUGGUCUAAGACUCUUGUGUUACUCCCAAAAGUAUAAGUUUAUGCUGUACCAUGCAAAAGCAACUUUCUAGAGUAGCUCUGGAAUGCUGGCACUUGAAAUGCAUACUUUGGUACCUCUAGUCAGGGAUGGAAACUUGCUACUGCCACAUGCAGCACCAUGAGGAAUUUGUUCCAAAAGAUUGAUUAUACUGCAGACUGCACUAUCUCAGAUUUUGAUCCUCAUGCUUCCAUCUUAUGUGAACAUGGUCAUGCAGGGUUGUCUGGCCCCGAGAUCUUUGUUAUGUACGAUAUUGGCGUCGCAACGAUGAUGGAAGCUAUGGUAUUCUUUUAAAACAAUUUUUUUCUUGGUUACUCAUCUAUCAAGAGUGAUCUUUCUGAUCCUUGGUACUUAAACUUGCAGUCGUGCUGUUUCGAUCUACUGAACAUCAGAACUGUGGCCCCCAACCAGGAUUUGUGAGAGCUAUUAUCGAAAGUAAUUCACCUUCUGCUUUUGUCAGGAAUCCUACCCUUGUUAUUUUUAAAAAGUUUGCCACCUUUCUUCCAUUUUCCUUAACUUCCUACUAGUUCAGGUGGAGGUUUCAAGAUUUCUCCUCUCAAAAGCCUCAAUGGGAGACCGCGCACUCAAGUUCAACACCUUAUGCAAAUUGAUCUUAGUGGAUGGGGCGUGAACUAUUUUCCAUCAUUCCAAUACCACUCUUUGUUGCAGAUGCUGAACUGUGUUGCUGGUACAAAUUACACACAACUAUUUACCUGCAAUUACAUGAUUUCUUGAUUAUCUAUCAAUAAUAGAGGUGCAAAUAAAGCUUGGUGAAGGCUCUAAAAUGCCCCUUUGCCUGAUGGUCUGUGGUUGUUGAGGAUUUGACAUUGCAUUUAUUUUCAGGAUUGCGUGAAUAUUUUUCCCAAACGGAUGAAGUUCAUACGGUUCCAAGGAUUCCGGUGAUGCAUGCCAUGGUUAAUACAAUCUCAAUGAAAAAGGACCAGAAGCUUCAAGAACCUGACACGAAGACCAAACAAACUGAUAAAAUCUUAGAUAUGGUAGAUGAAGAGUCGGAAGAUGAUGAUGACUAUCAAGUUCCUGAUGCUGACUUGGAGGUGAACACUCAUCCAGUUUCUAUAGUUUGCCAAAGGUUUUGCUGUUGGUCACUUCACAAUAAAAUUUCAUUGCAAUUCAUGUACAGGAAGAACCUACCAAAUCUGACAGUGAUGCUAAGAGCUCAGGUUUGUUUCUUUUCUAACUCCAUUCUUGUAGUUUGAUAACUUUGUAAGUUGCUAAGUGAUUAUCCAUGUUUUAAUCUGACAAAUUUUCCAUUAUAUUUGGUGAUCCUUCAGAUCCAAUAGAUUUGUCUUGGUUUUCGGGCAUUAUUCGUCAGGAUGCAAAUGAGAAAAGUCGUAACUGUUGGACAGUACCUGAUAACAAGGUCUUUAAAGUUCGUAGCAAGAACUUUCCACAUGACAAAUCAAAGGUCCAGGCGUUCAAGUGGCACAAUCAGUUUUCUUUUUGAAGCAUAGCAGGCAAUCAGGGACUUAGUAUUCUGUCAUUUGACUUACAGGUACCUGCAGGGAAGUACCUUAUGGAGCUCGUAGCGAUUGACUGGUUUAAGGACACCAAGCGAAUGGACCAUGUUGCUAGGCGGAAAGGAUGUGCAGCUCAGGUCAGAAAGUCUGUCAUAGUUGCUUAAUUGCAUUUUCGUAUCUCAGUGACUUUUUCUGUAAUUUACUGUUACUUGAUUACACGGCACCUGAGCACAUGUUUCUAACCUGCAAAGCAGAACUUGGAGUAAUAGAAUACCAUUGCAUUGGAGGACUGUUGGUUCGACCAACAUUGUGCUUUUAAAUAUAUAGAUAUAGCUGUUCCCUAUUUUUGGCAAACCUUGUGGUAGCAAUUCUCUUUUCUUUCAUGAUGUUUUGGGAUUGCGGAUCAAGUCCUGCUUUGGGAUAGGCUAGGUUGCUGGUCUGGUCAGACUUCUUUGUGCCAUGAGUAGGUCAACUUUUCUUAGGGUCGUGGGAUGUGGGCUGUCCAACAUCUAGCAAGUAAUCGUGUUAGCUUUGUGCACCCCAUGUUCAUUCUUGUGGUUCGCCCUCAUCUGCCGCGUAGUGUUGUUUGUUCUGUGUUCCUGCUGUGUCAAUUUCUAUAAGUGUUUUGCUGUGUAAACCCUCUCCUUGAUGAAAUACUGCAUUGAAAAGAUUCCCUUUCCUUUUCAAAUAAUGUUUAAUCUAGCUGUACCUUGCAUAGUAGCAAGUACAUGACAUGUGUCAAUAUCUCUAUCGUACUUGUCACAAAAAAAAAAACUAACAUGUGAAGAGUUAGUAUGUGAUACAAUGUGCUCAUAUAAGCAGUUGGAUGAACUCUGGACCACUACAGGAACAGUUGUUGGGCUAUGGAUUAAGACUAGGUAUAUUUUAGACUUUUAUGCUUUAGGUCAUAAAUUCAGAAUGAUAGUAUGACAAUAUCUUAUGGUUAUUUGACUGAGGUUGGCACAUCUUGAGUUCAAAUUGUCUUCAUUUUAAUAUGAACAUAUAUGCCAGCUUGUGUAAUGUGUACUGAAUACAGGUCCAACCCUUAAUUUAGUGUUUCUGUUACAUGAUAAUUUCAACUGAACGUUUUUUAGUGUAGGUUGCUGCUGAGAAGGGAAUGUUCACUUUUCUCGUGAACAUACAAGUAAGCUCGUGUUCUAACACUCCCCCCUGUUCAUUUAUUUCUGUCCUGCUUGUGCCUUUUCCUCACAGAAAGGCAACCACAUAAAAUACAUGAAAUUCACUGAUCAGCAAUCUGCAUGUGUUCUUAUAAAUGCCUAUUUUGUAUUGCUUCAUAAACCAAAGUUCAUAAACAUUACAAAUAAGAGCAGGUGCGGUGUGCUACAGUAAACAUUUACUUAUGAUAGGCAUGCUUUGCAUGGUAGUAAAUUUAUCGCCUUGUCCACAUGAUAGUUUCACAACUAAAUAAGAAAACGAUAAACUUAUGGCAUUCUCCUAAUGCCUCCUGUUGUUCCUAUUGAUGAUUUUUCUUCUGCACUUAGGUUAUGCUGGUUAAGUCACUAUUCUCUUGCAGAUUCCUGGAUCAAGUCAUUACAGCUUGGUCCUUUAUUUUGUCUCAAGCUCCUUGAAGAAAGGAUCAUUGUUGCAGCGCUUUGCAGAUGGUGAUGAUGAUUUUCGGAACAGCAGAUUGAAGCUUAUUCCAUCUGUUCCGAAGGUUUGUUCAAGUGCAAAGUCAUUGCAAGUGUUCAUUGGAAGCUUGUUCUCAUUUUAGCAUGUUUGAACUCUUCAGGGGUCUUGGAUAGUGCGGCAGAGCGUUGGAAGCACGCCUUGCUUACUGGGGAAGGCUGUUGACUGCAGCUAUUUGCGUGGUCCUGAGUACUUAGAAGUAAGUCUAUACAUUAGUAAACAUAUAGUUGCAAUUCAACUUCUUUAUUUGAUGAACAGCAAAUCUACAUCGUGAACCUACAAUGAAUAGGUUCUUACAUCGUGACAAUUCUGCAGGUGGAUGUAGAUAUUGGUUCAUCAGCAGUAGCCAACGGGGUCCUGGGCUUGGUGUUUGGUGUUGUUACCACCUUGGUAGUUGACAUGGCGUUUCUUAUCCAGGUAAAUGAACCCCCUUAGACCAUCUUUGCUUCCUUCAGGUUCCAGCAUCCAAUCCUAAUUGCUUCUCUGCCUUGCGUUGCACCUGCAGGCAAACACAUACGACGAGCUCCCGGAGCAGCUUCUAGGCGCCGCGCGGCUGUCACACAUCGAACCCUCCGCAGCAGUGAACCCUGAGCUUGAUAACAUUUCCUGAAUGGGAUGACUCAAGCUGUGCAGAUUCUUUCAUUCUUUCCCCCAUUACGCUCUCCAUUUGUUCAGCCACUGCAGCAUUUCGCAGUUUGAUAUUGGAGGUGCAUACUGGAGACAGACCCUGCAGCAGUCUACAAGUUCAUGUGCCUCGCCUUCAUACAGUUUUGUCUUUUCUUUUUUAUUCUUCUUUACUGGUGUAGUUUCUUUACAGUUAAUGUGAUGCAGUAGAUAUACCAAAGAAUAUACAGCAUGGUUUGGAAACCAAUUCAUGUACAUGUUGCAGCCCUGUCAUCAUAUACAUGCAGCAGUGUUAGCUCGAUUAUUCAUCGCCUUUUUCUCUCCUUGAGAGGAACGAGCAUGCAGCAGUGUUGCAGUAUAUUGGCUGAACAAUAUACACCUGGCCUGGCCGAUGAUAUAUUUUUUUGGUGUAUGUUGCUUUGUACCAUAGCACUGUCAGAGUAUCAGUACAUUUGCUGCUACACUCAGUGAACUUCGAUUCAUUGCAUGUUUGGCGAUUGAAACUGCCACUGGUACAAUUCGUAAUACCAGGCCUGCCACGGGCACUCUUGGUCGUAUCCAAAUCUAAAUAUAUAUUAUCCAAUGCUCACGCUCUCUAUUCUCACCUAUAUCUAAUGGAUAAUUAAUUUUAUACUGAAUAUUAUGUAUACUAGUAAAUAUGCCCGUGCGUUGCAACGAGAACAAACACCAAGUCAGUAAUAAGUUAAACAAAUCGUGGGCUCAGGUGUAAAGUACAAGUACUCCCUUCGUUUCAAAUUGUAGGUCGUUAUAGCUUUUCUAAGUAUAUAGGACUCGUUUGGCAGUGCUGUAGCUGUGGUUGAAAUGACUCUGGCCCUGGCUUCUUUGGUGGAGCACAGUACAUCAUUCCUACAUAUAUAACCACUUAACACCAAAUUUGUUACCUCGGGAACCACCUAUCCAGCAACAACUGUUUGUGACAUAUGAACUCACUACUGGUAGCAUCACACUGCAGGUAAAAAUAAAGAUCUAGGGGGAAACAUGAAAAAACAUGGCAACUUGAUUGGUAGAAAAUACAGUCACAAACCAGAUAUGACAGCAGCCUGAAAUCUAAAUGACAGAUAGCAUAGAAUGCAUGCUAGAAACAUCACCAGGCAACUUAAUUGGCAGCACAGCAUUGCCUUCUGUUCAUUGAAAGCAGCAGUUGUUCUAUCUAAUCUGAAAAGUGGGAAUAAGUUAUUCCAAAGAUAGUUCCUCUAUUAAAGCAUGUUACUUCUGACUGAUCCCUUUAACAUUUAAUAUUUUUGCUUAUGCUCUUUUUUCUCAACUAUGACUUUCUCUCAUAGCUAUGCUUCAAAAUUGUAGUAGGAAAUAUGCUACACCUUAUUGUGGAAGCCUGUAUAGUCAGAAACUUAUUUUUCUCUGGUUCAUAUAUCACUUUCACCUUGUCAUAGCUGGAAACAACUUUGUUUUUGUCUAUAGAAGGCAAUGCAGGGGACAUUGAUUUUGUAACAGCUAUAAUUGCGUCUCCACAGGUCACCACUUUGCACACCGCUGAUCUAGAUGCAGUCACUUGUUCUACCUUACACUGCUGCUCUUAUGCAUCAAGCAUAGAUAAAUUGCUGAACUCAAGUGAACUUUGCAAAUGCAGAAAAUAUCGGUAUCAGAAUUUGCUUAACACAAAAAAAGCAGUUAAAACAAGAAAUAGGUAGUUAAUCUUUUGUUCAGGCAAUACAACAAGCAACUGGUGUGCAUCAGAGCUGAAGUAGAAGGAAGGGCAUGGACCUAUGAGCUUUCUCCAUGGUAGGCUCAUCCUGAUACCCUUAGUUCACCCGAUAAAUCUCGUUGUCCUAGGAUAAACUUGACGAAUCAACUUUCUCAUCACCAAAUCAAGCACCUACAAUGACCAAAUCGAAACAAAACAAACCAAAAUGGAAUACAUAUUCACAAAAUUGAACUGCAGAUCAACCAAAUCAAUCUGGAUGCAUAAAAUUGAGGGGGCUGCGAUAACCUGGAAGGGAGGGCUCUGGGAGAUGAGGAUGCCGGAAGGUGCGGCCCAUGGAUGUGAGGAGAUGCUACAGUCGCGCCGCAUCUUGCCCUUGCGCUGCCAUCUCCCUUACUGGGAGCACUGAGAAGAGCAUCAUAGAGGACGCACGCGAGGGAGAGAUGGUAGGGCAGCGCUGCGAUGGGAGGAGAGGCGGCAGUCCACCGCUAGCGUCUCUGCUCCACCGCUACCUCCAGAGCUUCCUCCCUCCACCAGCCCCCACUGCUUCCGCUCCCGACGCCGCAGUCCGCCGGCCCCACCACCGCCUCACGUCCCAUGGCCCCAACACCGCACGGCGGCCCGCACCUUCGUCCCGCGCCGUUGUUGCCAUAUGCCCCAGGCCGGCCGGCCUCGUCCACGCUGCCGGUCCCCUCGAGUCUGCUCCUCAGCGCACGCCGUCGGCCCGUGCCCCAGCGUUGCUGCCCACAAGCCUCGUAUUCGUUCUCCGCCCCCUCCCGCACUGCCAAGCGCCCGACCGACCUCAUCGCCGAGGCCGCGCGGGGCAGCGGCGGGGCGUCCCACUCCGGCCGCUGCCCGCGCCCAAUCCCCUCCGUCGCCUCUUAAGAAAGGAGAAGCUUUUUCUCAUUUAACCCCCUCUCUUCCCUUCUUUUUCCACCUGAGCUCCCCUCUCUUCAAAAUUGGACUGCGGGUUGAUUACUGAAAAUUUGAGGGGGGUUUUCGCAAAAUGAUCACGACGGUUGAAGGAUUGAAAGAAACAUCCUCUCUUUAAUAUUAGGUAUAGAUUCAAUGAAUAAAUUGCACCCUCUCCUUCCUAUUUCGAAUGGAUAAUUAAUUUUCUGGUGGAUGUGAAUUUGAAAAUAACAGUCCUACGUAAUAUGUGUGAAGCAUUUUUUUUAAUUCAAAAUCUCCGAUAAAAACCAUCUCAAUUCCUCUUAACCCAAUCGACGGUGCAGAUCCGGUGGGUUCUACCAGCAGCUGGUUAAACCUCACAACUAUAAAGCCCAUUAGACCUAAUUAAAAAAAUUCAGAUCAACAUUUAACUAAACCAUUCAACAUUUCAACAAAUCAGAUUCAACAUUUUGUAAAAGUCAGAUCAACAUCUAAAAAUAUCAGGUUCAAGAUUUUUAAAAAUAGAAAUCAACAUUUUGUAACAAAAUACAUCAUUCAACAUUUUUCACUAUCUAUUUCAACAUUUGAACAACAAGGUUCAACAUUAUUCAAAUAAGGAUCAACAAUUUUUUUUCUUGUCUUCUUCCUGCGCCUACAAGCGGACGGCAGACUCGACCCCGCGCCCGAGGGGCGGCGUCGCACGCGGCCGACGUCGCGCCGCGCGCGGGGCCGCGCCCGCGUGGCCGGCAGCAGCGCGCGUGGCCGGCGGUGCUCGCGGCCAGCACCCGCGCGUGGACGGCGGCGCCCGGGGCCGCGUGGCCGGCGGGGAGCCGGGGCAGCACGGGGGCGCGUGGGGGCGUCGGGUCUCCGGCCAGCCCAGUGCGGCGGCGCCGGGGAAGGAGGCGGCGGCGCCGGGUGGACAAAUCUAGGGUUGGGGAGACACAUCCGACGGAUGAUAUUGCGUGCACGAAUCUCAAACAAUGGAAGCCGGAAGCUAUACAGGUUUCCCGUCUUGUUCUUUGCUUCACACUUUGCACUUUGUUUCACCAACUGGGCUUCAUUAUUUCCCAGAUCCGGUCCAUCAAAGCCCAUGUCAGGUCCAUCUCAACCCAAACACCACCGGGCGGGCCUCUAAACCCACCCCUCGCCGUCGUCACGAAGCUUUUAAUAAGUUCGCAUUCAUUCCACCACUGCAUCCACUGACUCCCAGCCCGCUAGGGGUUUUACCACCAUGGCCGCCGCCGCCGCCGCCGCCCGGAGGCUCCUCUCCCGCCGCGCCUCCUCCUCCCCCCUCUCCGCGCUCCUCCGCCGCGGGCCGUCGGCGGCCGCCACGGAGCAGUCGCUGCUGCGCCCGGCCGUCGUCGCGGCGGCCUCCCGCCUCGGGUUCCCUCGCGGGAUGGCGCGGCGGCCGGGCGGGGACGGGUACUCCCCGAUGCGGUCGGGUGGCGGGGGCGGCGACCGCGCGCCCACGGAGAUGGCGCCGCUUUUCCCCGGCUGCGACUACGAGCACUGGCUCAUCGUGAUGGACAAGCCCGGAGGGGAGGGCGCCAACAAGCAGCAGAUGAUCGACUGCUACAUCCAGACCCUCGCCAAAGUCCUCGGGAGGUACGGCGUGCUCUUCUCACCCGCCGGGCCACCGCAGUUCCCUCACUUUGGAAGUUGAAAUAGAGGAGCGAGUUAGUUUUGGAAAGUAAUCUGACGUUUUUUCUCUGAUGCAGCGAGGAGGAGGCGAAGAGGAAGAUUUACAACGUCUCGUGCGAGCGCUACUUCGGGUUCGGCUGCGAGAUCGACGAGGAGACGUCCAACAAGCUCGAGGGUUCGUUCGAUCUAUGCCCUAUGAUUGGUUCAUUAGUUUCCUGCCCUUUUGCUGAACUCGACCUGGCACAUAUCUGAUGCUUUGCUGUUUAUGAUGUGUGCUACAGGGCUUCCUGGAGUUCUCUUCGUGCUCCCGGAUUCGUAUGUUGAUCCUGAGUACAAGGACUAUGGAGGUAUCUUUCUUCUCUUGCAUGGCUGAUAUGGUUAUUUGUGGCGUCACUGUAUGAUUGCCUAUAUCUUAGGAUGGUAUUGGUGGGUGCUCUGUGGUAGAUUUGGUUGUUGUAAAUAUCAUAUCUCAUCAUGGAAGCAUGAUGAAGCCUGCACUUUUUUCUUCUUUCAAUGGCUACGGAGUACUGACUGUCUGUUAGCGGUACCUGAAUGAGAAGGAACAUUGCGAAUGUCAUUGGGGCAUUGUUCCAUUUCAGUGCUGCCCUGUCAGGCCCAAUCCUAUGCCAAUGGUGUUCUAGUCCAUCUUGGCAAAGCUGUGAAGCCUUACAGGCAAUGCCCAGCUUUGAAUGCUAAUGGACUAAUACCAAUUGUCUCCCUAACGGUUCUGCACCUCAAUGAAAUGGGGCUCAGAUCAGUAGGGAUGAGACAUUACCAACACAUUAUUGCCAAGCUUCUACGUACUUUUACUUCAGCAGUGGAACCAGAUACUAGUUUUAACCACACUGGUCUUCUAGUCCAUCUUGGCAAAGCGUGGAGCCUAUUUGGCAAUGUCUUGCUUUGAAUGCUAAUGGACUAAUAACAAUGGUCUCUCUAACGGUUCUGCACCUCAAUAAAAUGGGGUACAGAUCAGUAGGGAUGAAACAUUUGUUUUUCAUUUUCACCAAGUCUUUUAUCAUUUUUAGGCUUUUAUCUGUUUGCCUUUGGUAGUUCAACCAAUGACCUUUUUUAACCAUGCUGGUCUUCCAGUCCAUCUUGACAAAGCAUGGAGCUUAGUCAGCAAUUUCUUGCUUUGAAUGCUAAUGGACUAACAACAAGUGUCUCUCUAACGGUUCUGCACCUUAAUGAAAUUGGGCACAGAUCAGUAGGGAUGAAACAACGCUAUGAACAAUGAAAAGACAAUGUUACUUAGGUUUGUCAAGAGUAGGUCUGAAACAUGUCUUUGUUGUUUGAUUUUGUUUAGUCCAUCUUGGCAAAGCAAGAGAGUCAUUUUUGGCAAUGUCUUGUUUUGAAUGCUAAUGGACUGAAAGCAAUUCUCUCUUUCUGUUCUGCUCUCCAUAGCAAUGGAGUUAUGGAUCAGUGGAGAUGUAGCAUUAACGCAUUCAUGUUUCACACUGGCUGUUGCUAGUACUUUGCUUCCUGUGAUUUAUCCUAGUCGAGUUGUUACUCUUGGAAAAAUGUAUUAACGUCCUCUUAUAUUUCUUAUGUCGCAGCUGAGCUCUUUGUUAACGGGGAGAUUGUUCAGAGGCCCCCGGAGAGGCAGAGGAGGGUAGAACCGGUGCCACAGAGAACAGCAGAUAGGCCUAGGUACAAUGACCGGACCCGCUACGCCCGGAGGAGGGAGAACCAGCGAUGAGCCGGUCGAAGACCAGAAUAACAAGCCAGGGGUGGUUUCAGCUCACAAAAUUAAAGGAUAAUACUGCAUCUACCUGCCCUAAUGGACAAUCUUCCAGUUGCAUGUUCACUUUAUUAUGCAGUCUAGAGUGUUUUGUUUCUGGGAGCUCAACUUGGAUGUAUUGUGCUCUGUAAUUACUAUAACUUGAGAUUGAAAGUAACCUGGCUUGGGAUUGCAUUGAUACUGGCACACUUUUACAACCUUUUGCGCUGCACAUGUAAAUCGGUUUCAUGAUUGAAAGUUUUAAACUGCUAAUUUGAUAGAUGGACUAUGGAAUCCUAUAAUUUCAUUAGUUUUUUUGCCCUUAUGUUGAUCUGUUCUCCUUUUCUGCCCUUGAAAAUCAGUGUUCUGAUAUGGCAUGAUGCUGCCAUCACUUGUUUUCACACGGUGCCAAAAUUACUGUCAGUGCUGGGAAGCCUCGGCUUCAGCUGAUUGCAUGUACAGCUCGACGAUCCUCUCCUGGGAGAAGUCGGUGAAGUACCCCUCGCCAACGGCGAGCCCCUGCUCGGCGGCGAGCUGCCGCACCCUCUCCUGCACCUGAUCCGCGCCGACCCUCGCUGGGUCCAGCAGGUUGCAGGCGACCUCUGUGACGCCCUCGCCGUGCGCGAGCCCCAUGGCCUGCACCGACCUCAGCCCGCCGCCGCGCUCGCUGACCGCCCGCGCGAUCAGCCUCGCCGCCGCGACGUCGGCCGUGUGCACGGGCACGUUGUAGUUGUCCACCCAGGCCGUCGCGCCGAUGGCCACCACGCCCUUGGACCUCGUCGGCGUCGUUGGGCCGGCGUCCGGGGCGACGGGCAGCGAUGACGUGUCCGGCGAGCCGCGCCAUUGCUCGCCGGGGGAGUUGGGCGUGAAGUAGCCGAGCUGCCUCCUGAUGGACGCUAGUGUUCUGCCCUCCCUGUGAGCUGCUCCGUACAGAUAUGUUGGCACUGCAGGCAUCGCAUUGAGCACAAUGAGCACUAACCAUGCCAUUCUAUGAUUGUUUCAGUAAAACCACACAAAUAUAAAGAUGUUUGAACCGGGGAAAGUCCAGAUCUUUUAACAACAUAUUUUCAUGAAAACACCAUUUGAACAAGGAAAAGUGGAUUUUGGCCGAAACAUUUGGAACAGUCGCAAGAUUUUCCACAAUUGUAGCAUAUAUAAAAAGAUAAAUUUUUGUUGAAUUUCUUGUUAACAAUAGUCAUCCAUGAAAACUUUACCAAUGUGCUAAUCACAAUUUGGGUGAUUGGGACUUGGGAGAAACACAAGAACCUUGAAGCUUGUCUCCGAUGUCAGCGGCCACCGCCCUGGUGAGCGCGGCAACGUCGUCGAGGCGGGCCCCGGCCAAGGGAUGGAAGGCGAUGUGGUCGACGACGCCGAGCCGCGGGUGCGCGCCGGCGUGGGCGCCGAAGUCCACGGCCUCCAGCGCCGCCGCGACCACGCCGAACGCCGCGCGAUGCAGCGGCGGCGGGGCCGGGUCGCCGCCGCCGGUGAGUGGGGCGACGAGCGUGUAGCCGACUCGGUUGUAGGCGUCGUCGGCGAACGCGUUGACGAGCACGGCCGCCGGGCUUUGCGCCGCCGCGGCGCGCUCGAUGGCGCGCAGCGCCGGCGCGUUGCGGGCCUCGGAGAUGUAGAGCUUGCAGCACGCCAGGGCCGGCCUCAGCAUCGUUGCAGCGCCCUCCCUCCUCCUCCUCUUCUCCUGCGUCGAGACACCACCACCAUUUUUCUGGGGGAAUUCGAGACGAUAGCAACAAUUUUGUUGGUGAUGAGAUGAUGGCAGCAUCUGGUUGAUCAGGCUGUGGACAGGAUCAAAAGCAAACCUUUCUGUAUGGAGAAGAGAAAAGGCGUUCAGGAUGUCAACUACUCAACGCAGUGUUUGCACGGACUAUACUAAUUAUUGCUAGUGCUGGAGGAAAGAAAAUGAAGACCCGUUUGGUUGUCAGGACUAAAAUUUAGUUCCGUCACAUCGAAUGUUUAGAUACUAAUUAGAAAUAUUAAAUAUAGACUAGUUACAUAACCAAUUGUACACGUGGAGGCUAAUUCGCGAGACGAAUCUAUUAAGCCUAACUAGUCCAUGAUUUGACAGUGUGAUGCUACAGUAAAUAUGUGCUAAUCAUGAAUUAAUUAGACUUAGUGAAUUAGCCUCCAUCUGUAUAAUUAAUUUUAUAAUUAACUCAUAUUUAAUCCUUCUAAUUAGCCUCUAAAGAUUUGAUGUGACAUGAACUUAGUUUAACUCAAGGAUCACAAAACCACACAUGGAGUCUCUCUCCACACAAAGUCUCUCAAGGAUCACAAAACCACACAUGGAGUCUAAUUCGCGAGACGAAUCAAUUAAACCUCAACAGGAGACAUGAGCUUGGUGGGUACCGUGUGUUUUACAUAUAUAGUCACCCUGAUCCACAAAAUUGUACAAGAGACCCUGCACGUCUUGCUAGCAUUACGCACAUCGGACAGGGCGGUCUGGUAUUAUUCCAGCUACAAAAUCUCAAACAACGAUCUAUGUGUUGCGAUUGGAAUUCUAAGCAACCAACUAUAUCUUUGCCCCCAUGAAUUUCAGCCUUUCAGGCAGCAGCCUAUUCUACCUCCGCCGUAAGAUCAGCUAAGGCGCUAAUGAAGUGUGGAUGGCAACUAAAAUUCGCUAUCCUGAUGCACUGGCUGCCUUUGCAUCCUUCUCGUCUUCGCCUUGCUCUUCCUUGGCAAAUUCCUCGAUCAGCUCCCGCUGUUUCGGCGUCAAAUUCCUGCAGGGAGUGUUAUGUCAGACUUACCUGUUGGAGACUAGGAGCACAUUGCAAGAGAGUAGUAUUUCGUUUUGAGGGGGAACUUACACAGGGAUGUUGACAUUGAAAUGGACGUAUUGAUCACCGUAGUAUGAUGAGUUUCUUGUCUUGAUACCUGCAGGAUACAUAGUAUUUAGGUUUAUAUUAACACGCUAGUUUCAAAAAGCAAUGGCACUAUUACAUUGUCUCAAAGGCAAAUUGGCAGUUCACUAAAAUGCCAGUUAAAUUUUCAAUUCUUACUACACAUAAGUUAAAAAGAUUUGACACUAGUGAGAUGAUAGUCCAGAAUUUAUUUAUUUAUUCAUUGUUUAGUUACUUUGCCACAAGAAAAAAAGCAUCAAAUUACUGUGUUACAACUGUCACUAGAUAAUACACUGAGAAAACAGAAUAAACAAUGUACACAAUUUACCUUUUCCUCUCAGAACUACCUUCUGACCAGGUUGAGUACCAGGCUUGACCUGUGAUAAGAUAGUGCGGCCAAUGAUGAUUUCACCGCUUAGUAAACAUAAAAAGGGAAUAGACCAUGAAAGUCAAUAGAUCUGAACAUACCUUUAGAACAACAUCUCCACUGAGAGUUGGGACUUGAACUGUCCCUCCCAAUAUUGCCUAUGUAGUAUAUAAGAGUAAUCAAAAUCAAUAUGCUAUUAAAAUAUACUAAGAGAACAGUUGUGCAAGAAUAUUUAUGUAUAUAGGCAUAUAGCCUAGCCUAUACCCGACUGAUUGAGUUAGUAGUAGACAGCUGUUUAAUAUAGAAGAUGCACACGCAAGGUUCUAUGUCCCUUGUUGGUGCUAACACAAGGACUCCAUCAAGAGCCAGUCUGACCAAAAUUAGGAGAUAUUGUUCUCUGUCCGACUGAGAGUUAACAAAUAUUUUCUAUUUUUCUGUUUUUGGUAGGAGUACAUAAACAAGCUGAGAUACUGCCUUCAAUGAACACAAUCUAUAUAUAGUAAAUUGUUACACAAUCUUAGCACUGUGGAAAGAGGGCUAGCACCAUAUGAACAUUUAAUCAUAUCCGUAGGGUGCACAUGAACAAAUUGUAGGAACACGCAAUAAAUUACCUGAGUCACAUUCAGGACAGCAUCAACAUGAAUAUCACCUCUCUCUCUUCGAAAUACAGGAUCCUCAUGAACCUGGAGAAAAAAAAAAGCCUUGGAAGGUUAACUAUCUUCAUUCUUUCAUCAUCAACAGAGCUACUAAAUUGUAACUUGAUCGGCACUGAAGAGACUGACCUUGAGGGUCACAUAAAGAUCACCCGGACGGCCAUCUGGAUCUGCUCCACCUGAUCUCAUCACCUUUAUAGUAUCCUCGUCGUCCGAACCUACAACAACAGAAUAACAUUUACAUCUUGCAACACAGAACAAGAGCAUCCUAACACCACUGUAACAUUACAAUGAAUGACAAUAACUUGAAACCCACCAGGCAGUAUAUCAAGGCGAACUGAUUUCGUUCCGGUCACAACCUUGUUUCCUUUGCAUGUCUUGCAGAAAUCCUAGAACAACAUAAAAGCAUAACCACCAGGUUAAUCAGAAUUCAUAAGAUAAACUGUAUAAAGAAAGACCAUAGUGCACAGGGUAACUCAAGUACCUCUCCUCUUUUAAGUAGAUAACAUGAUAGAACUAGCUUUAGGUGCAGUCAGGAAAUACAUCAUUUAUUACUAGUAGAAUAACUGAUGGUGAGGUUGAAAGUAAUUCAGGCUUCAGAAUCAUCAGCCUCAUUGAAAUAUAUAUGCUGAGGUUGUACUAUAAUGAUUCAUAGGAGGCCUGAUACCAUAACUGUACUACGCUGAAUUUUUUUGCAGUUGCAGUUGGUAUCUAUCAUUAAAAAGGAAAAAUCCUACCUUCACAGUCUUCCCAGAACCACCACAUUUUGUGCAUGUUGAUUGCAUCCUGAAGGGUCCAGUUUGCAUGAACAUCUGUUAACAAUACAUAAAUAAGCGCACUAGUUGAAUUGAAUGGAUAAAAAUAUAAGCUUGCUGGAGGAAGAACUAACAAAUCCUGUUCCCCUGCAAGUUACACAUGUUUCAGGUUUGGUUCCAGGAGGCACACCAGCUCCACCUGGAAAAAGAAGUGGUCAGAAAAAAACAGAUUUCAGAAGGCAUAUACCAUAAAACCAUAAAAAAGGUAGUCAUGAGAUAAAACUGCAUCUACGUACUGCAGGUUUCACAUAUUACAGAAGUUUGGAAGUUGAUCGUUUUGGUGCACCCUUGAACUGCUUCCAUAAAUGUCAAUUCAAGCUCAACCUGUAAAAUGGGAUUAAUGGAACUGCAAUUCACAGAGUACAAUUGGAUGUGCAAUGAAAAUGAGUAUAGAAAUUACCUUAACAUCACGUCCUCCAAAUUCCCUAUCCCUGAAAAUGUUCCUAAAGAACUUCAUACCAAACAAAAAAAAAGAAUUAGUUUUCACAGAUUUAAAAGAGGAAUAAAGUACAUGUACCAACGAAAAGUCAUCCGUUCUGAAGCUAUGAAACAAAGUAAUGGAGACAAGAAAUAAAAGUAUAAUAACCAAGUAGCCAACACAGAAGUAUGUGCUAAAUAACUAAAUGAAAGAAACUAAUAGUUAUUUCCCAAAUAAAAGUCGUAUAUAAAUCAAAUCAUCCAGUAUUGAUGCCAGAUAAGUUAUGGUAGAAUAAAAUUUAGCAUGCAUAAGAUAAGAAGACAAAAUCACAAUGCCUGGUGAACACAAAUUUUGUGCUUAGACCAAAGAAGUUCAUGAAAUAAUAUCGCAAAAUGAAAUAAGCUUCAACAGAAGACAGUUUUCUUCUGUACAUUCGAUGACAUAUUAUAAUAAGUUGAAAGGAAGCAAAGCAACAAUUGAAACAUGAAAGCUAGCUAUGAUGAAUAAGUUUAUAAAGGGAUGGCAUACAUCAUUCAUUCCACCGCCGCCGCCACCACCACCACCACUAAAAAUAUCCUCAAAUGGAUUUCCAAAACCACCCUCAAACGGGUUGCCAGUUCCGCCUCCAGCAGCAGAAGCUUUCUCAUAUUGAUCAGCACCAACCUGUAGGCAAGGAGAGGUCAAUUCUGAUUUCGUGCUUGAGACUGCAGGUAACCUUACUCUAAAAGGUUGCUACGGUGACUCUUUGUACAGCGCAGAUAAUAGAACAAUAAGUUAUAAACAUUUGACUGCUAACAAAUCAUCAAAAUAUUUGUGAUAAGAACGAGAAGUAGAAAUGAAAACAUAUAUCAUCAAAGACAAUUUGAACCAUUACCUGAUCAUAGAAUGAUCUUUUUUGCUCAUCCUUCAAAGUCUACAUUGAAGAUGAAUAGGUAUUCAUCAGAAUCCACAGAAGUCGCAACCCUUUAAGUUAGGUAAAAAAACAUACCACAGUAAACGGACAUCAAGUACCUCAUAAGCUCGUUGAACCUCUUGAAACUUCCGUUCCGCAUCCGCAUCACCUUUAUUCGUGUCUGGAUGAAGCUUCUUUGCAAGCUUUUGGGAGAAAAGAGACAGAAAAAAAGCAGGCAUGGUAAGGUCAGUUGCAGAAUGGAGAAUAUAAUAACAGCAUGCAUUAUCCUUAGAACACCAUAGACAUGCGGUCAAUCGACAUAACAAAAAUGCUGACCAGAGACCAACAAAAUUGUUGCUAAAUUGGGUGAAUGCUGCUGUGCUAUCUAAACACGACAGUGCUAAUGUCAAACAUUUUCACACAUUAAGAUUUUUGUACUUGGAACCAUGAACAUCUACCAAAUAUCCUUGCAAAUUAAUUUACACCCUGAGCAUGCAGUAUCUAUAUCCAUCAAUGAUCACAGACAGUUCUCUCAAAAUGUCAGGUUCAACAGGCAUCGAGAUCAUACCCCAUAAUAGGCCUUUUUUAUCUCGGCCUGGCUCGCAUUCUUGCUGACACCGAGCACAUCGUAGUAGUCCCUUGCAGCCACCGGCCUGGUCCCUGCACCAUCACUCCACCGUCAGCCCCACUCCCGAGUAGCCGAGAUCACUAAUCCUCCGAAAUAUAACGAGAGAAACAGCAAAGCUUCCCCUAUCAUUCGCCACUCACCGUGGAAGAACCUGUGGGCAGAGCUCGGCGACGAGAAGGGGGAACUCCGAGAGGGCGCCGCGCGAGCCGCAUCGCUCCAUAUCCCUGCAGGGGGGCGGGAGCAGCUGAGAUCACGGGGCGGCGAAGCCAGGCCCGAGGAAUCGGGAGAAUCCGAGAGACCUAGUGGGAGGGGGGAAGCGAGGCUCACCUCUGUGCGCGCGGGGGAAGUAGGAGGCGGUGGCGGCGGCGGAGGAGGAGGAGGACGCGGAGGAGAGGGAGCGUCGGGCGAGCAGGAGCGCGAGGCGUGCGCCGGCGGGGAGCCGCAUGGCGGUGGCGGUGGUGGCGGCGGCGGCGGGUGGACGUCGUCGCGUGGCCUCGCCGGCGCCGCGCGUGUGCGUGCGGGUUAAGGAGAGGGGAGGGAGAGACUGCGAGCACCGAACGUUCUGGAAGGCGCUCCGCUGCUUCUCGGGGAGGGUCUCGAGAUGGGCCGUUGGGCCUCCUGUGAUGGCCACCAAAUCAAUGAUCAAAGAAGCCCGGCUUUGAUCAUGUUGCUGCUUCCGCUACACGGGCCCCCAGCUUGAAUGUUGGCCUGCAACAACUCAGCCCGGCUUUGCGAAGAAACUCACAAAAGAAAGCCUGGCAACUUUUUUUUUUUUGGCAAGGCAGCAAGGCCUGAUUCUAUGCGGUCCCGAGGUCCUCCGUCCGUCCAUGCUCACGGCCCAAGUGUUGUGUGGCACCAGCGAAUCUUCGCAAAGUGUUUGCAUAUUGUCCUCCGUGAAACGACUUCUCGAUUCCGUUCCAAAUCAUAGGUCGUUUUUUAAGCUCCAAUUGUAUUGCAAAAAAUACAAAGGAGUUUACAGCAUUGAAGUGGAAGUCACUCUUUCACAUAAGCUUGGCACGCAGGUCAGCCUGAAAUUCUUAACUCAAUUAGCAUUAAUAGGCUGACACCACACACAUUACAUUCCAGCUUAUUCUAGAUAGACAACACAUUGGUCAUAGCUAGCAUUACUUGAUUUCUUAGGUCAUGUCAGUUCAUUUGCAGCCAUCCAGUGGCACCAGCCACAUCUUCAGUUUCUCACUGAGAUGAACCUCCAAGCCUUCCAUCAGCUUCCAGUCAGAGAGAGCCUCUCUGGUCUUAAUGCCGCCACUUCCAGCAAGGCGAUCGAUGCCGGUGCAGAUGGUCCAAUUCUUGAGCAUCGCGAGCAUGGGAUGCCAGACCAGCUGCAAGCCCCGCCACCAGCUGCCAGACUGAAAGCAAAAAUUGUUUGUAAGUUUCCAUAAGCUCCACAUCGCGGCAGAGCUGAACAUAUUCAGAACACCAUGUUUCUUCUCACAUAACCACCAUCUAGCUACAGACUCGAAAUUAGAGGAAGCCAGGCAAGUUAAAUACUUCAGCUACUAUAGUCCACAUCUGUUUAGCUACCACACAGGCGAAGAACAGAUGAUGAGUAGAUUCUUGUUCACAACAAAAAAGACAAUUAAGAUCAUCGAUUUUUUCCCUUCUUGAGACAUUAUCUCGAGUCAGUAACUUAUUAUAGGUUGUUUUGGUAUUUUUAUAUUUAUAGUUUUUAUUAUGCAUCUAGAUAUACACUACAUAGAGGUGCAUAGCAAAAAUUAUGAACCUAAAAUGUAAAAACGACCGGAUUCGGACGGAAGGUCUGGCGUGCAGCAUGUUCAUGCACGUGGAUGAUGCCGUACGUUGUGAUCGUCCCUUGGUUGUCUUUGUUAAUUAUUACUAUUUUAUCCUUUCCCUUACUUUGAUAGAUGAAAAAUUUAAUUUCUUUACAAAAGGUGGAUGCGUCAGGCCAGGGCGCACGCUGCUGCAUGUGUAUGCGCAUGGAUACGGUCUUUCAAUUGAUAACUCCACGCAUAUAACAAUACGAUACGGCUACAUUUCUUUACCUUUAAUGGUGCAUAUAUAUUGUCCUCCAUAAAAAAUAUGAAUCUAAUGGCAAAUGCUAGGCAGAAGUAAUAUGGUUACAAUCCUUGCUAGCAGAACUUGGCGUGUAUCUUCAAGAACCGCCAGUUCUAUGGUGUGAUAACUUGGGUGCUAAGUACUUAUCAGCUAAUCCUAUUUUUCAUGCAAGAGCCAAGCAUAUUGAGAUAGACUUUCACUUUGUUUGUGAACGUGUAACUAAUAAGUAGCUGCAGGUUCAGUUCAUACCAAUAGGAGACCAAUUGGCGGAUGGAUUUACAAAAGCGCUUCCUGUUUGCAAGCUGGAGAAUUUCAGGAACAAUCUGAAUCUUCAGGUUAGCAGAAGUUUCGAUUGAGAGGGGCUGUUAGAAGUAGAUAAUAUUCCAUGUAAUCCGAGUUCAGGUUUGUUGGGCUCGGUAGCUUAGUUGUUAAGCUAUUCAGGAGUUGUAGAUAUGGUUCGGUUGGUUUAGAGGUUUAGAGAUAGAAUAGAACUCAAAUGUAUCCUAUAGGAUUACGACUGAACCUAAUCUACGACUGUUUGCAGAUGUAAUCUCUUGGAGGCUGUUUUUGCACCUCAUGUAUUAACAUGCACCAUGGCAAUGCCAGGUUAGCAACCACGUUCCUUCUAUCUUACAGAACGCCCACGUGAGCUCGUCGAAGUCCAGCAAAGACAAGCCGGGAAGGGCAACACCGUCACGGACAGUAGCCAGAGGGUAGCAGAGGUAGCAGAUUAACAUUGUUGCGGCAAUGUCGGGAACAUUAGGGAAGCAAAGUUCUCUGGUAUCGCUGCACUAUCCUAUGCUCACGAGGAGCAACUACACAACCUGGGCGAUCAAGAUGAAGGUAUUCAUGCGUGCACAAGGUGUUUGGGGGCGUUUGGGAUGUUGUUGAGCCUACUGACCUGAAAGAGAAGGUUGACCCUAUGAUGGAUUAGACCGCGCUUGCUGCCAUCUAUCAAGGUAUCCCGGAGGAGACUUUGCUGGCAGUGUCUAAGAAGGAAACAUCAAAGGAGGCAUGGGAGUGCAUCAAGACAAUGUACCAAGGUGCUCAACGCGUAAAGGAUGCUCGUGUCCAAACCCUCAGAGAAGAGCUGGAUGGAUUGCGGAUGAAAAGUACUGAUUCAGUUGAUGACUUUGCGAUGAAAGUAAACUCGAUCGUCAGCACGAUUCGUGGAUGGGGUGACAAAAUUGAGGACUCGUAUUUGGUAAAGAAAAUUCUUAGAGCUGCUACAAACAAGUUUUUGCAGAUUGUCGCUUCUAUCGAGCAAUUUGGUGACUUGAAGACAAUGACCGUUGAAGAAGUUUUUGGGAGAUUACGAGCGUAUGAGGAAAGACCGCGUUGCGGUGAUAAUGAUGAUGAUGAUGCUGAGCAUGUGUUGCUCACCAAAGUCCAGUGGAAGGCUAUGGAAGAGAAGGAUGGUGAUGAGCAUUUGUUGCUAAUAAACUUAUUAGAAUCAUUUGCAUGCAUGCAUGGUUUCCGGCUUGUGUAUCUGGUUACAAACUUAUUAGAAUCAUUUGCUGCUUGCAUUUGAAAAUUAUUUGCAAUUGUCACCACCAAGUCAUUGCCGGAUAUCGGCCAUAAAUGUGUUGUAUAAUAAAUGAGUAGCUGCUCAACCGAUGAGCUGCAUUACUUUCUCUAUAUGAUGCAUGCAUAUACACCCAGGCCAAGCAGCUAAGCUAGUGCUGCAGCUAGAGAACAAAACCUGACCAAUCAGCGCCGUCGUCAUAGCUAGCCAUGACGGCGGACGGUGACGGCAAGACGCGGUGGCCGCCGUGGUGACCGUGCUCAUCAUCACCGUCAUCGUCGUCGCUAUCAAGGUGGUGCUCCGCCCCGAAUCGCUGAGCCUCUCGGUCGUCGGAGGCGUCGUGUCCUCGACUCCGCAGCCGGCAGCCAAUAUCGUGCACUUGGGCGUCAAGCUCCGGGCCGAGAACCCUAGCGGCCGCGCCCGGAUGUACUUCUUCAACAUCACCGCCUACCUCUUCGACAACAAGACGGUGGCGGCGGCGACGGCCGACCCGGAGGAAGACUGCCGCAUCCUGUUCACGCCGGACGACGUCGCCGUGGCGCAGCAGAUGGCGGUGGUCUCCGUAUCGGAUGUGCAGGGAAAGGAUGACCCUGCUGUCAUGGACCACUUCCACUUCGACAUGCUGUACACGAAGCGCCAAGUCAUCACUGACGUGGCGAUGAGGGUGGAGGGCCGCCUGGUCACGGAGGUGAGGUCUGGGAUCAACAGGACGAGUCAACUGGUCACCUACUUAUGUUGGCCGCUCGUCGUCGGCGGGAGCUAGCUUGGUCGGCGGCGACGAGGUCUCCGGAGCGGGAAGGACGUGCCUUGCAAGGAGAAUCUCGGGAGUCAAUCCGGUGAAUGAUUCUCAAGGUCGCGUUUAUUCAAGGAACUAAAUUGUGCAUUCAAAGUGUAGUAGAGAACUAGAUAUUGGACCUGGCAGCGGCCUGCUUGACGAAUAAAAUUGUGCUUCAUUUGUUGUGUUUCAAAUUGGUAGAACUAGAUUGGAUCUGGCGGCAGCCUGCUUGAUGAUUCGCAAGUAUGUUUUGUAUUUCCCUGUAUAUUCACCUAGCUUGAUCUCUGUCGGUGUAUGAUGGGCAUUUAUGAACAGAUUACGUACUAUUGCUUCAAAGACUAAAACUGUAUUAGACACUACUUGCGGUAAAAGAGACGCACUUUGGAUUGUGACACGGUCUUUGGAAUAUGACUGUGACCACUAAUUUUCACUGCGGAAAACUGACAAUGAUCAUAGUUUGGCCAUCCUAAUCGAAGUCCAUCAACCGAUGCUUCUCGACAGGCUAACAAUUCUAAGCCUCCCUUCAAUUUGGAACAAAGGGUGACCAUAUGCAUUUUGAAGGUCUCCCAAUCCUAUAAGAAAAUUUUAUACUCUCCUUGAGAACAAAAGUAUUGCACUAUACUAGUUCAAAAAAGAAAAAUACAUCUCUUGCCAACGCAUUUCGUCCGUAGGGGAAACUGGUGUGGUGUCGCCUCCCUAGCCUCUCACACCUGCUCCCUCCUUCCCUCCAUCUUCCCGCCAAUGGAGCUCACCGGCGGAAGCCUACUCGAACGCAAUGAAGGUGGCGGCGGGCAUCGUCGUCAUCUUUUCCUAUCGGAGUCCCUAGUUCCCCACCUCCCUUUUCCUCUUGGCGUUGUGGCGGCUGUGCCGCCAUCCCUAGGCUGGCAAUGCUUGGAUCUUGCACUACAUGCCUUAUUUCGGUGCCCCCGGUCCAUUUGGGCACUCCCUGCUUGUGGAUCCAAUCGAGGGCCCAUCAGAGAUCGGACCAGAACAACCCACAUCACCGAACAUGAGCUUCACUUGGGCUACUGCUUCUCCAUCAGCUCGGCGAUUAGAUGUCCUUCUACACUUUGCGAGGCACUGCCAUUGCUCCAUAUCGGUCUGUGAUAGUCCAUGGAACGAGCACUAUGUGGUCGUAAUAGGAGCUCUAAGUUGAUAAAAUGAACUAGAAUGUCAUUCUACGCAAAUAAUUUGGAAGGAGAAACAAACUGUCGUAAUUAAUCAGCUGACCCAGAAAACUCUAUUGGGUACCCACUUGAAUCCCUCCCUAUUCAUGAUGUUGUAUCCAAGACUACCACAUCAUAAAAAUAUCAUUAAGUUAAUAUAGUACUAUUAUAUUAAUGCCACAUCUGUAAAAAAAAUCAUGUGUGUGGUAUGUAAUCACACUACCAUUGGAACUAUCCUAAGCGACCUACUAUUCUGGGUGGUAUUUCGAAUUGUGUGUGGACUUGCUUUCGUGCUUCAGAUCUGCCUGUGUGCUCGUGGCCUAUACAUACCUGGAAACCAUGGGGAUAUUGAAGCAUGAUCGAGUCCCAUAUAAACCCUAUCCAACAUAGGCCGCAAAUAGAGCAAGAUCUAUACUUGAGAUAGUCAUAUAUGGCGGUUGCUUUGGCUUUAUUGAUACUUGUGCUCUUGCCCUGUUCUUCUCAAACUGUCCUUAUUGCAGCAACAGCUGGGGAACACGAGUACACACGCUCGUGGUAAUCAGCUCGCUGAAACCGAAAGCUUCCUGCUCCGGACACAGGGGUACGCAUCCAUCUCUUUUCUCUUGGCCUAAUAAUUAACAAUUUUCCAAUCCCUAAUGGAAAUGAUGUUAGCGUACGUGCAGUGUCUACACCACAAAACCGCACAUGGGCACCGCUGAGCCUCUCGCAUGGCUCGUGUUCGUCGUCGUCGUCACGCUGCCGCGUCAAUCCGUCCAUGGCCGAGCUGAGGAACACGAGUACAUGCUCGUGGUAAUCAGCUCGCUGAAACCGAAACCUUCCUACCCCGACGGGUUGUCGACGCUGGGCACCUACAGCUCCGACGUGCUACCGCGUCCUCCUCCGCGACGUCGCCGUCGGCGGGCGGCGGCUCAACGUCCCCGCGGCGGCGUUCGCCGCCGGCGCGGUGGUGGACUCCCGCACGGUGAUCACCCGCCUCCCGCCGACGGCGUACCGGGUGCUGAGCAGGAUGGGCAUGUACCGCCCGGCGCCGCCCAAGGGGAGCCUGGACACCUGCUACGACUUCACCGGCGUCUUCGUCAUGAGGCUGCCGAGGGUGGCGCUGGUGUUCGACCGGAACGCCGUCGUGGAGCUCGACCCCUCGGGGAUCCUGUUCAACGACUGCCUCGCCUUCGCGCCCAGCAGCGGCGACCCCGUGCCGGGCGUCAUCGGCAACGUGCAGCAGAGGACCAUCGAGGUGCUCUACGACGUCGGCGGUGGGGCCGUCGGGUUCCACCAGGGCGCGUGCUGAGUGCAGGCUACCGGCGGCCGGCCCGCUACUACCAAUUUAGCAUUUGGCUUUUUUCAGGAUGUAUUUGUGUGUACUACUAGCAGUUGGCGUCCUCUCCUGCGCAGCGCCGCCGCCUUUUUUUUUUUUUUUGGAAACACGAGAGAGAGUUUCCUUGCUGGUUAUAUAUUAUAGAAAUUAAAAAAAAUAGAUGAAGUGUUACAAAUCCAAAUCAAGAAAACAAAAGAACAGAAGAAGAUCAAAAAUAUUAUAAUGUCUGAUCUAACCAUGAAGACGUGCUGCUGUUUCCAGUCCUCUUUUACUCUAAGGAUAACCUGAGUAAAAUAAAUUGAUUUAAAAUGAAAUAAAGAGUCUUGAACGGAAGGAGUGAUCCCUUUGAAGAUCCAAUCAUUUCUAGCCAUUCAAAUACUCCAACACAUGAUAAUUAUGAUUUCCAUUAAGAAUUGAACCUGCAGCUAAAUUCUGAAGCUAUUUAGAAUUUCAUAUGGUUUAUCAGACAAAUUAGGAAACAUGCCUAUAUGAAUCCAACAUUCCUGAGCAAAAGAACAUCUAAGUAGGAGGUGGAAUAAAGUUUUCUCUCCACCAUGCUGACAGAGUACACAUUCAUAGGAAGGUAAGAUCAUAUGUUUCCUUCUAAGAACGUUUCUUGUGCUGAGUCUGUCUUUGAGGACUAGCCGGAAAAAUACUUUAUGCUUAUUCUGACAACGUGAUUUCCAGAGCCAUUUAAAGACCUGAUGUACCUGUCUAUGACCCGUGAGAUGACGAUAAGCUUUUGAUGAUGAAUAAUAUGGGCUGCCUAAAUGUAUGUCCAUAUAUCUGGUUCAGAUCCUCCAAACUGGUAGCCAGAUGCAUCAGUUGAUCAAGUGCCUGAGUUGAAAGAGGAAGAUGGAACAAUUGCUGAACAUCUACUAUUUCUUGGGCUUUCUGAAUUGAAAUUUCUUGCUUUUUGGUGAAGGAGAGGAGUUGGGGGUAUGCCUGAGCUGGCACUCGAUCUUUCCACAGAUCAUUCCAAAGAGAGCAUGUGCAUCCAUCAUUAACUGAAACCGUUGCAAGUCCUUUAUAUUUAUUCAAAAGCUUCAGAACAUCUUUCCACCAGAAAGAGCCCUUCCUUACAUGACUUGGCAGUUUUCCAUUAGAGUAAUAUUUCUCCCAUAAUAGAUGCACCUAAGGAAUAUCUGCUCUGUUAAAGAACUUAUGUAAGAAUUUGAGUAUUAAGGCUUCAUUUGUGUUUUGAGAUUCAGAACUCCCAAACCCAUCCCCCUUCUUUCUUUGGAAGGCAGACCAUUUCCCAGGCUGCUUUAGGUGAUUUUCUAUUAUUAAUGUCUAAACCUCUCCAAAAGCAAUGCUUCCUAUAUUUGUCAAUCUGCUUAUACACUAUGAAAUAUAGGUAGAGCAGUGAAAAUUGAAUUAGUUAACUGAAGGCGGACGAGCCUUGCAAGCCCACCAGCCGAGCUGGGUGCCGCCGUCGGCUUUCCGCAUGAUUCGCCGCGUUGAAGCAUUGCUGGAGAAGGCCGACGCUGCCCCGAGCUUCGCCUCACCAGGCCGCACACCCGCCGCCUCUUCUUGUCGUCAUACCGCCGUUGGAGCGCCGCCAACCACUGAAGCCCGGGCCGAGUACCGCCGCCGGGCUUGGCAGCUCGAUUCGACGCAUCGAGGUACCACCGGAGCCGGCCAACACCACCAGGAGCAUCACAAUGUCAAGCAGUGUGCUUUUCACCGGCCGUCAUCAUCGAUUCGCCGCCGCACGACCUCGUUCCCAUGAAGGUUGAGCCAAUCACCGUCUUCCACCGCGGCUGAGCCUAAUUCCGGCCACUACCGUCGUCCUCCGCCGCCGGUGAGCACAUCCAAAAUCUCCCCUCGACCUCCCUUAUCUACCUUGCCGCUUCCCCUCGCCAUAGCCGGCCGGAGCGCCGCCUAUUUUGGCUGGCCGAGCCACCAUUCGUCAUGGGAGCAAGCUCCUAGAGCUUUUCAAGUUAGCCCCUAUGCUUUUGCAUGUAGACCCUCGAGCUAAUCUGUAAUAUCUGGUCGAUUCUUUGUUCUUGGCAGAUUUAUAGAAUGACCCUUAAACCUUUUAGAUCCUUUCAACCUAACCCAAGCUGAGAUCUUUUAUGGAUCUAACCCUGAGUUCCAACCUAUUCGCGAGCACUGUUCAAUGUGUCUCGGGAAUCUUCCUUGCUAGCACCUAUCGUCUAUGGUCAAUCACGAUUAGAUCCUUAAUCCUUGUUUAACCAAUAGAAUUCAUGUUUUACCUCCGUUUAACCUGGUUCUUGUUGCGUUAGAUUCAUGUCAACUUAAAUCACGUAUUAGAAGCAGUGUUGAUCAUAUUCUCUAUUUUAUAAUUUAUUCAAAAUAUUAAUGUGAUUAAGUACUUAUACACUUGCUUUCCUAAUAAAAUCUAAUUAGAGUUAACCCCGUGUUUUCACAUUAAAUGUUAAUUUGAUUAAUGUUUAUUUAAAUAACUCCUCCAAUUAAAAGCUAAUUAGAGAUAUACCUUGGCUUUCCAUAAAUUAAACUCAAUUUGAUUAAUGUGUAUUCAAUUUGUUUUAUCAAUAAAAGCUACAUAGGUUAUAUCUCGAAUUUUCAUGAUUAAAUGUUAAUUUGGCUAAAAUGAAUAUAAAUGAUAUUUAAUUAUAUUUGGUUAGUUCAACCCGAAUCAUAAAGUUCUACGCUUAGAUGCUUUUACAUACUUCUUUUAAAAUCAAAUGUUUAAUUUGCUUAAAUUGUUCUUAAAUAUUUAGAAAUAAAAUUAGACUAAGCUUUACAUUGUCUUUUCAUAUGUAAAUACCAACUAAGGAUAUUUUCUGAAAUAUCUUUACAAUGUUUUUCUCGGCUAAAAUAAAUGAAACAUGUAGCUCUUGUCUUUUCUUUUACAAUCCAAACCGCUCGAUAGCUUUGUCUUUUCAACCAUAGCGCCGUUUCUAGUCUUUCUUGCAGCCUUGCGUUCCUAGAAUCGAGCCCUAUCCUUUCGUAUGCUGUUUUAAAGCUUGUCUUUUGAUUGGUGUACUGUUCUUAGUUGUGAUUGUUUGUUUGCUCUGUAUACUUGUGCCCGAUGAUUGCUUCGAGUAGAAAGAUCGCUAUUCGAAAGAUUUAAAGGUUAAGAGUUUCAAGAGAGUAAGAGCUGAAGAGCACUAAGAGUAACUUUUCUUUGAAGAAAGGCAAGUGUCCCUAACCACCCUUCUGUCUAUACUUAUUUAUAAUACCAUGAUAAUGUUAAUUGGAAUAUGGAUUGACCACUCAGGAAAACAGUACAACCACAAGAACUAUAUGAUUCUGGUCUUAGCUAAUUAAUUAGAGACUCUAAUUUGGGAUAAUCUUACCGAAAGGGCAAGAGGGGAGGCGUUGAUGGGGUAUAGCCCGACCCUCAGGCUGAUCUGCUUUAUGGUAGCUUCGCAGUUUUGAGAGAGGUUUAUGCUCUGCUUCAACCUGAAACCUUAGCGGGUUGCCACUUAUUAGGGAAAUCUUUGUAAAGUUCUCGCAGCGUCCCUAUGCAGUGACAUCUCGGUAGUGUGAUGAGUACCUGAUCAGCACAGUAUGGUUGGGUCUAAAGUUUUUCAGAACUUUUACGCGACUUGUGGGUAAAGAUGUACAACCUCUGCAGAGUGUAAAACUGAUAUAUCAGCCGUGCUCACGGUCAAGAGUGGCUUGGAUCCUCACAUGAUUAAUAAACUUGAGAUGGAUCUAAAAUCAUUUAUUUUGGUUAUUUCAUGUGGCCUUGCUGAGUACCAACCAUACUUGCUUACUGCUGCUCAGAAGAAGAAGGUGUGUGAAGUUUUCUGAAGAUGAUGUUGAGUUCUAGGCGUACGCAACCCGCAACCCCCAGUCGAUUGCCUGUGAAGUUUGGAGCCUUCAUUUCCAGGAUUAAGCUGUAUAUCUCUGAUAGGCUCGUAAGUCAUUAUUUAUAUUCCUUUACGUGAUACUGUUACUAUUAUUCACUAAUGAUGUCACUAUAUGUAUGAAACUAGAUUCUGACAUACAUAUAGGUAGCACUUGGUUUUGUUUUAAAACCGGGUGUGACAUACCCCCUCCCAACCACUGAUAACACAUCCCUGGCUAAAUUAAGCCAACUGAAGACAACCGCAAAACUUCUUAUAAAUACGGACCACUUCCCUACAUGCCCAAAUCACCUCCACAUUCAACUUGGUCAGGUAAGUAGCCAUACCGGUAAUAUUUCGGCCAGAAUUCACUUCUAUCCUCAAAUUCCAGUUAAAAUCUGUCCAUAUUCCAAAAUUUUCGCCCAAAAACCGGCAUGCCGGCCCUACCUCUCUAUUCCACAAGGGUGCAUGAACACUGUAUGAUACACAAAUUAUACAUUCCAUGAACUAGUUAUCCAUUUCUAAAUUGAUUAAAAUAGAAAUACAAACACGGUGUUUGUUUGAAAAAAGUUGAAUAUUUAUGAAACCAAUAUUGAAAAAAAUAGACUGAGCUGCUGGUGGAAUCUAUCUAACCCAGGGAAUGAAGCAAAGGACAAUUACUUUAUUCGACAUGCAUGCUGCUGGUUCAUAUGCUUCUCUCAAGGCCAGAGAUGUAAAUAUUUCGAUUUGGGCAUUAGUGACGGUCCAUCUCUAGAUGUGACUUUCACAUAAUUCUCUGUAAAAAUGACAAAUUACAACCUUAUGAAAUAUUUUCACAAGUCCAAAGCGAUUAUUUUUGUCAGAAUUUAUACGUGGGUGUAGAAUAAACAGCUACACCUAAAAUAUAUACAAUAGCACUUACACGUUUAUUUAUUGAUGGCUGAAUGAAGUAUAUACGAAAUAGAUAAGCAUACUCCUCCUUUAAUUUAUACAUAACUUAUACAUAUAAAUUAUACAUAUAAAUUUGACGCAUAACUUUGUACUAACAAUUUUUUAUGGGAUAAUUUUUCAACACAACUUCUCUAAAGGAUAACUUCAUUCUUUAUUUUAGAAAGUUAUAAAUUACACGCACGAUUUAUACACACAAAUAUUUUUCUAACAACAAUUUACGUGAUAAAUUUUGUAACAACAAUUUACGCAGGAUAGAACCGCAUGCAAUUAAGCAUCGGUACCAAGUUUCUGACGGCAGGUGUGGUCGCAUGCAUGCGCUCGGGAUGGAGGAACUAACCGCAUGCAUGGUUCGCUGUGCCUGUUGUCGUCAUCUUGGGGAUCAACGACGACGGAGCCUGGCACUGGCACCACCGUACCGGCAAACGGCUGGAGAACGAGGGCUGGCACGGCGGACCAGAAAGAAACACGAACAAGCCAAGCCUCGGGCCGCGCCCAUGAUCCCUGCAAGAACAAUCGCCACCGAGCCCAAUGAACUACGUACUGUUUUUUUCUCUUCUUGAUCCAAAGGCCGCCCCAACCCGGCCAGCCCGCUUGCAGAUCAUGCACCGGCUAAGCCUUUGUUGGUGGAUCCAAGUGAUGAUGAUAUAUAAAAGAAAGAAAAAAGAUGCACACAAAUAAUUAAAAAGACCAAGGGCCCAAGGCAUCGUGUCGUCCAUGAUGACUUGGAGCUUCCCCUGUCCACUGUAAUCAGUGCACACCAUGUGCGCACAUCCACCUUUGCUAAAGAAAAGGAUUAGACAAAGACCAAGGCAAGAAUCUAAUUAAUUAAUUAAUAUGUGAUACCCCUCCAUUUCAAAUUGCACGUCCUUUUAGUUUUUUAGAUUAUAGAUAUUAUUUAUGACAUAUAAUUUGGAACGGAGGGAGUACUAUAAUUUAUGACAUAUAAUUUGUAUUCUAGUGGAUAGUUUCUUCAAAAUAAAUUUUAUCCAAUCCCCUCUCACUACUGAAAAAUUGAGCAUUCGUCCUGAGGCUAAUGUGGGUAUUAGUAUCGAGCCUAACGGAUAGUUCCCGAGAUGGCCCACAUGAUCCCCUUUAGUACCGGGUGGAGGCUCCACCCGGUACUAAAGCUCCCAUUCGCCCCCUCUUUCUCUCACAGACCCCGCUGCUUCUUAUCCUCUCUCUCCUGUCCGUCUUCUUAUCCUCACACUUCCUCUCUCUCUCUCUCCCGUCUAUCUGCUUCUCUAUCUCUCUCGAUCUCCUUUCUCUCACCCUCGCACUCUCUCUUCCUCUACCUUCCCUCCCUUCCUCCCUCCGCUCGCCCCUCACCGACAAUGAGGAGCAGCGGCGAGGUGAGGCGGCGGCGGGCAGGUGGGAGCUGGUGGAGAGGGCGGCGGGGCCGGGCGAAGGUGGCGGCGGGGGCCGGGUGAGGCGGGGGCCGGGCGGAGGCGGAGGCGGGGGCCGGGCGGAGGUGGAGGCGGCGAGGUCGGGCGGCGGCAGGCGGCAGGAGCGUGGGCGGGCGGGCGGAAGCUGGCGGAGGGGGCGGCGGGGCUGGGCAGAGGCGAAGGCAGAGGUGGGGCCGGGCGGAGGCAGAGGGGGCGGCGGAGGGGUGGAGGGGAAGCGGGGCAUAGGCGGAGGUGGGACGGAGGGUGGAGGACGGUGGGGGCGGGGUCGGGCGGCGGGAGUCGGAGGGGCUGGGCAGAGGUAAGCGGAGGGCGGUUGGAGCCGUGGAAGGCUGGGGUCGGCGGUGGGGUGGGGGCGGCGGGGGCUGGCGGCAGGGCAGGGCCGGCGGUGGAUUUCUUUAUUUUUAUUUUUUAAUAGACCUUUAGUACCGGUUAUUUCAACUGGUACUAAAGGUCCCCCUUUAGUACCGAACUAUCAGUACCGGUUGCGAAACUGGUACUAAAUGGGGGUUCCCAGUCGGUACUAAUGACGCAUUCCCCAGUAGUGUCUCUUCCGUCUCAUCCCUUCCUUGGUUAUCGUGCUGAGCUGCCAUUCUCAAUGGAGUGGGGGUUUCAUGAGAUAGUUUCUAAGACUAUGGCAUCAUCUAAACUAAUUGGACGUACUCAGAUGAAAUGAAACUAUGUAGUUCUCGAUGUCAAUUUUACCAUGUACUCAGAUGAAAUGAAACUAUGUAGUUCUCGAUGUCAAUUUUACCAUGUACUCAGAUGAAAUGAAACUAUGUAGUUCUCGAUGUCAAUUUUACCAUGUUUCAUAGGAUCUGUUUAGCAUAGCUCCACCUUCGAGAUCCAUGUUAGGUCUGUACUCUGUAAUCUAAAAUAAAAUGAUUUAAAUAUUUGUGUUUAGUCUAAAUUAUAAACAAAAUAUUUUAACUAAAUGUUCCUGAUAGACCUGCAGCUCUAAAUCUAAUACCUAGCUCUAAGUGAUCCAAGUUUUUUCCCGUAACUCUGCCGAAUAGGGUUAUAGUCUUAGGAACAACGUAUACCAAGUUUUAUCCAAACGAAAUCCAUAUCUUCUCUCUUCUUAUAAAUACUUUAUCAUGUCAUUAUAUUUGAUGAGGCGACAUGCCAUUUAACAAGAAUAACCACGAUAAUGACCUAAUAAAAAAAAAGACAAAAAGGCCGAGGCCCAACGCAUCGUGUCCCUUACUUGGAGCUUUCCCAACCCUUUUAUAAUCAAAUUGCACAUCAUGUGCGCGCAUCCACCUUUGCUAAGAUAAAGAAUAGACAAAGACCAAGGCAAGAACCUAACAAUUGUUAUCACAUCUCAAAAAGCAAAAGCGAUCGAAUACGUUGCAUGCACAUGCAGCGGCAUCAUAUAUUAUGUGCACCACAAAGGGCCCUACUCAUCCUAUCCAGGCAGGUAUGCUUUGCUGUCCUUGCAUUGGAUCUUUUCCUUCGUAAUGCAUGCACCUUUAGCUCCGAAUUCCUCAAAGGGAGAGGAAAGAAUAAAGAAGGACCGACGCCGCAAUGAGAUCAAACAAUCACAUAGAAAUGAAAAAAAACAAAAAGACGAAAAGGACCAACAAUCGUAUCAUGUGUGCAUGAUUAUUUACUCGAAAAAAAUGUGCGUGAUUAUUGCACAUACACUCUUAAGGAACCAUGUUGAGUUGUGCUACACAUGUGGUUCAACAUGUUAGUGACGAGAGAUACAUGCAUAUUGACUUGUCGAAAUGGUUAGAGCUUUUUUGGACAUAUAGUUGCUUUACUCAAAUUGGUUAUACAUUGUUAAUUUAUUGGGGAUACCGUAAGAUCCUCAUAUAACUAAGCAUAGUGGAUUCAUUAGGUUCCUCGUAGUAGAAGCAUUCCACCCGGAUUUGAAUCCUAGACUUAACACUUCUGCUCAUUAUAGGAAUAAAUGAUGCUAUUUUUUAAGUGGAAGGUAGCAUGCCUAUCGGCAGCAAAGGCUGCUUCUAUGGCAACUUUGACAAUCCCAAUAUCUACUUUCAGUCAGGCCACUGGUCUCACGAAGGUACUCGUAAGGAUAGGGCGCGAUUGGUUAUGUUUAUAGGGAUGAGUGUAUGUGAAUGUUUACCUCUAUACUAUGUUUCAUAAAAAAGGUUAAGUAUGCAACAAAUGAGGCAGAUAUGGUAGACGAUAUGCCUCAAAUAAAGGAUCGCAAGAAUACAUGCGCAAGGCACAAUAUGUUAUCUUAGUUUUGUUCUAUUGCAUUUUGAGCGUAUAACUGAAUAAUAUGCAUGGCUUCUUGCUCUGUGUUGCUCCCUUUUGCCUAUAGGACUCAAUCUAUCAAAACUUCAUGCGCACCAAUACUAGUUAAAAAGAAGUCUUCAUGUCACGAAGUCGUUCGUGGUACACAUUCAACAAGCUCCAUCCGAGAAUGCAUGGUUGCAUAAUAAUGCUUGUUAGGUUCAUAUUCAUUUUACCUCACCUACAAGCAAAUUUCACUAGUGCCAUUGAAGCUAAUCUACAAGGCUUGAGAUAGUGUAUUCUUGGAGUCAACAGAGUGUAGUUCGACCCAUGGAUCCUGUCGCAUGCGGCUAGUAGGUUUAAGUGAUAAUUGGACUAGUUUAUGUGCACGUAAUGAUACGGUAUAUGCAUGGUGUGGAAGUUGUUCUAAACUCGUGCCCGAUUACAACUUAAGUAUGUGGUGCAUUGAACUUAUAUUCGAAUAAUCUCGAUCUGAUGCAUGUGAAAGCAACCAAUGUGUUCAUGUGUGAAUGAGUGUUAUAUCAUAUGCUACUUUGUACGUUUAGGGGUGCAAAUUAGUAACUCUACUAAGAGUCUCACCACGUCUCUGUAGUCCAACAAAUUGUACUAGCUAAUCAAAGGUGACAAAAAAUGCAUCGGGCAUGGCAGCCUCUGGCACACAAAAUUGUAGUACAAGUGUACAACAGAAAGAUAUACUCUAAUCCUAGAACCAAAUCAAAGCAACCAUCACGUAAGUUCAUAUCUGGAAGCACACAAAUGAUCAUAAGAUUUAAAUUUCUUAAAACAAACACACAGGUCGAACCGAACUAAUAAUCGUGUCGUCGAUUCCUUGUCCAUGAUGCACUCAUGCCAGUUAAUUAUUUAACUAGCCGCAAAGAACCGGCAGGGGAGCUGGUUCUACGCCGCUCACUUCAGCGGCGGCGGGGAAGAAGCUGACCGGCGCGCAUGUCACCUUGAUGUCGUACAGCCGCGUCUGCGCGAAGCCGACCUUAAAUCUUGCCACCGCGGUGACCGUCACGGCGAAGGCAUUGUUGGUCAUGUUGCGGGUGAAGGAGCGCACCAUUAAUGGCUCUCCCUUGAGGGCCGAGAACAGCGUCGCGUUGAUCCUGAUCUCCUUGAGCUUCGGCUGGAGCAGCGGCCUGGCCACCGCCGCCGAAAUGUCGGCCCUGAACGACAGUCCUCCCGCCACCGUGCUGUUGCUCACGUCGAUGUAGAUGUUGUCGUACUCCACCCGGGCGCGCGUGCUGGUGUUGUUGACGGAGAGGGUCAGGGCAAGCUCCACGCCAUCGGCGGUCUUGUGGCUGCUCGCGUCGGCGACGGAGAUGAGGAUGCGCGCGGGGCUCAGCACGAUGAAGAAGACGGUGACGAUGAUCGCCGCGACGAGGACCGCCAUCAGAGCUGCUAUGAUGUAUUGCUUCGCGGUCGGGGCCUUCACGCUCUUCGUCGUCGUCGUCGUCGCAGCCGCCUGAGGCGCCGGAGCUGGAGGUGCCAUGCUUAAGCUCGUAUUGGUUUGUGCCUUGUGCAGAUAAUAUAAUGUAUUGGUUUGCAUCAAAAAUCAAAGUGGCGCGCUGUCUGCCGCUGAACGUUUUUUUAAUAGAUCGCACGCGCAGGCGUUGCGGGAUGUGUGUGUGUGUGAGAGAGUAGUCAUGCUACUGACCAUGCAUGUUUGUAUGAUUGUUUGAAAACAAGAGUUAGUUAGUGGCAUUUUUGUAUGAAAAAAGGUCUUUAUUAGCAAAAAGAUCGAUGCUUUGUCCAUCAAAGGCAGCACCAAUAAAGAAGGACAUGAUGCACGCAUCUCGUACUGAUUCUGAACAGCUAGAAGAGUAUAGCUGUUAUUCGCAAGAGUGCUUAGAACGUUGUGUGUUAAGGACACUGCCAAGAAUUGGAUCGAGCAAAGGCAAAGCAAAAGGCGGAUAGAUAUGAUCUUGCGGUCAUGGCGGUCAGAUGGUGACAGCGCCAUAUGGAGUAGUCUUCAGGAAGAAGUUUCCUUCUAGAGAUUGGAGAGAAGCUAUUCUUGCUAGAAUCAUCACUCGGUGUGCAGCUUGAUUUAUUUGCUACUGCGGAUCGGGCGGGACGGACAUGGCAGAUUAUGAACUAUAUUAUAGAUUUGAUAACUGGUACGGAGUGGGUUAUGAAGACAUAUAUGGAUGGGCGUGUUCUGCGGUGGUGAGUGUAAUUUUGCAUAACUGGUUCACCUCCUAAAAUUUGAUUGUUCAGAUUGAUUUGAUCUCUUACCGACUUGUUUUUCAAAAGCCAUGCAUGUACAUACUCCCUUCGUUCCAAACGAGUAACUAUAUUUUGGAAGUAGGUAUCAUGGACCACUUUUAAGUUGCUACAUGAGAAUCCAGCAAAAGGAAUCUGUCUAAUCCAGUUAUUGAGGAAGCAAAGCAAAAAAGAAAAAGAAAAAACGGGAAUCAAAGGUGACAAGUUCGAUAGUGCUUUACUUUGAUUCGACGAACUGCGGAAAAAGAUUCGAUGAGAAGCACGUGAAAUUGGGUAUCUAUUUAGCUGUAAGGCUGGAACUAAAAUGCUUUAAAAAAAUUCGGUAGUCGCGGCAAACAAAAAAAAGAGUGCUUUACUUGCUUUAUUAUUUGACAUAGUGGUCCAAACAUCUUUCUAAAAAAAUUUGGGAAGAGAAUUGAAGGUAUGGUUCUUCUUUUAAAUUAAAGGAAGAGUACUAUGCUUAUCUAUUUCGUAUAUACUUCACUCAGCCAUCAAUAAACAAACUUGUAAGUGCUAUUGUAUAUAUUUUAGGUGUAGCAGUUUAUUCUACACCCACGUAUAAAUUCUGACAAAAAUAAUCGCUUUGAACUUGUGAAAAUAUUUCAUAAGGUUGUAAUUUGUCAUUUUUACAAGAGAAUUAUGUGAGAUGGACCAAAUCGAAAUAUUGUACUACAUCUCUGUCCUUGAGAAAAGCAUAUGAACCAGCUGCAUGCAUGUCGAAUAAAGUAAUUGUCCUUUGCUUUAUUCCCUGGGUUAGAUAGAUUCCACCAGGCUGAGUCUAUUUUUUUCAAUAUUGGUUCCAUAUAUAUUCAACUUUUUUCAAACAAACACAGUGUUUGUAUAUAUCUCUAUUUUAAUCAAUUUAGAAAUGGAUAACUAGUUCAUGGAAUGUAUAAUUUGUGUAUCCUACAGCCUUGUGGAAUGGAUAAAUACCGGAGGUGGUCGGUAGGGCCGGUAUGCCGGUUUUCGGGCAAAAAUUUUGGAAUUUGGACAAAUUUUAACUGGAAUUUGAGGAUACAAGUGAAUUCUGGCCGAAAUAUUACCGGCAUGGCUAUUUACCUGACACCACCGGUAGGAUCGAAAUUCACGAAAACCGGCCAAAAUCUAGAACCCUAUGUAUAUAUAGUUUGUACAUGCCCAUAAUUCAAAUACAUGCAUUUAAUUAAUGGAUAAGUAAUUCAAAUACAACCUUAAUAACUAGUAUAAGAUGAUCAUCUACACUCACAUGGGUAGGCCAUGCAAGAAUUAUAUAUGUGGAAAUACAAACAAUUCUUGCUAGAACAAUUCUUGCACAUGUGAUAUCUCAUAUCUGUAUACGUAUAAGCCCAGGCCAUGUACACAGAGAGAUGGGGUUAGCUCGACUUUACAUGCCAUUUGUCUCUAUAUAGUAGGUGAACUCAACCUAUCAAUUGCUUUUAUAGUAGGCCACCAAGCAAAUCAUAAGCCAGGACACGGCGGCCAAAAAAAAUUAAUCUGACCGCCGGCUGUCGUCGUAAGAGCAUGGCAGCGGCCGGAGCAGCAGGUGACGGCGAGAAAUCAGGGUUCCGGUGGCUAGACUUGGCAAGGUACGCGGUGGCCGCCGUGGUGACCGUGGUGAUCAUCGCCGUCGUCGUCCACGCCAUCCAGGUGGUGUUCCGCCCCGACUCCCUGACUCUCUCGGUCCUCGGAGGCUCCGUGUCCACGAACUCGUUGCCGCCGGCGACGGACCCUUCCCUGUCCUUCUCCUACACUCUCCGUGCUCGGAACCCCAGCGGCCGCGUCCGCAUGUACUACUUCAACAUCAACACGUUCCUCUUCAACAGCAGCACGCCGGCGACCACGCCGGAGCCGAUGGCCGACUGCUUGGUCUCCUUCCAGCUGCCAGACAUGUCGGUGAUGCAGAUGCGGUUCACGGACAGCCUGAUACAGCGGACUGUCCAGAGGAAUCCUAAUGAUAUCAUGCCGUUCGCCUUCGACGCAUUGCACAAAACCGGGGGCAGCAUCAAGGACGUAACGAUGCUAGUGAACGGCACGCUCGUCACCGAGAUCAGGUUCGGGUUCAACACCACCCCUCGGGUCGUCAAAUACUACUGCAGGCAGCUCGUAGUCGGCUUGUACGACGUCGCCACGAUGAAAACUGAUCAGGAGACCAGCUGCACAACGUCGUCGUGAUCUCGUCAUUUUCCUUCAAUUUUUCUGUGUUGAAAUUAAGUCGGAUUUGAUGUAAUGUACCACACCUCCCAUUCCUUUAGCGUGUGUGUUUUUAAUUUUUCAGGUAAUUCUGCUUUUUCUACGAGCUGUGUAUCAUCUGAUAUCCUGUCUUCUAAUAUAUAUAUAUAACAUUAAUAAGUACUCGGGUGUGAUACGAUUUCUGGGUAGUUAACUUGAUCGUCCUUAGGCUAAAAACAACAUGUCAAGAAUAACCGAGAGGGAGAGAAAUAGUGAGAAUAGAGACACCCACCAUCGGGCUUGGAGGAUGAGCUCGCCAUGGGCGGUGACGGCGGC
rnacentral:lncRNA from 1 species